rnacentral:lncRNA from 1 species
CUCAUUCACUCACUUACUUGAUCACCCCUACCAUCCACUAUCUUUAUUAGAAUUUAAAGACCAUUUUCAAUGAUCCUCUAAACUUCAUAAUCAUUGGCUUGAAUAAAUAACCUCAUCCUAGUAUUCUAAUAAAAAUAGUUAUCAUCAACAAAGAGAAUAGAUUUUACAAUUGAAUGGCCUUCACUUUUAAGAGAUAUAGUAACUAUUUCAUUUAUCAUGAGACACAUUUCUUGUUGCCCAUUGUAUUUGUUAUAGCUUAAGGAUGGUUGUUCCACAUUGAUCAUCAUAUUUCUUUGAGCCAUUUUUAGGAUCACUUUUUGAUUGUUAAACUUACAAAAAAAAAAAGUAUUAGCAUUGAUAUCAAUUGUUAGCUCAAAGACUUGAAAUAAAUCAAGAGGGGGUGAAUUGAUUGAUAAUAAAAUUUUUAAAAAUCAAUACUUAAUAAGCAUAAAUUCUGUAAAAUAAUUUAUCUUAGCAAAUGAACAUAAUAAAUAAAAAUAAACUAACAAUCUUAAAAAUAAAAGAUAAAGAAUUAGACACCAAGAUUUAUAAAGAUUUAGUCUUUUCUUUAGGUACCCAUGUCCUCUCCUUUAACCUCACUUGUCAAAGAAUUCAAUUCACUAUGUGUUGAAAGUUACAACCUAGCUUUUCAAAGUUUUACAUGAUCAACACCACAAACUCUUAAGGGUUAUCCUCCUCCUUAAGCUCACAAUCUCAUAAUACAAAAUUUUUGAAGUAUUAUGCAAACUUAAAGAACCCCUCUAAGGUUGAAUGUUUGCUAGCUUGAAGUACAAAGCAAUAUUGACAAGAGGAUUUAGAGAAAAAUUGAUAUAAGAAAAAUUUUUUGCACUUGUCUCUCUUUGAACAUGUUUGAAUGCUUGAACAAGAUGGUUAGUGAAGGUACUAAGUUCUCUUAGCUUUAGAUGCUCUUAAUUUGCAGUGGAAUCCUUUAUUUAUAUGUAAAAAAGAGUAGAUAGCCGUUACUUUACAUUUAAUACUUCAAACUUAUAAACUAUCAGAUAAAAAAAUAGACGUUGAGGCUUUCUGGGCAUCGGGGGAUCGAUCCCCUCAUAUAGGAGAUCGAUUGGGUCAGUUAUAGGAAAGCUCAUAUUCGUGCAAGAAAAUGCUUACCCGAUUGAUCAAAUAGUAUACUUGAUCAAUCCAAUACUUAGGUGAUUGAUCUUCUAUGUGGAGGGAUCAAUCUCUUUGGUUGUUUUUCGACCCUAUUUUGCAUUCUGUAUAAAAAAUGGAUCGAUUAUUUUAUUGGAAUGAUCGAUCGGAUAAGUUUAAACCCCAACUAAUAUAUCCCUAUAGGGAGGGGAUCGAUUGGUUCUUAAUGAAUUUCCACAAGUUUAGCUACUAGAAGAAAAAUGGAUCGAUCUCUUUGGCCAAGGGAUCAAUCGAGUAAAGGAGAGGAUCAAUCCCUCCCCUUAAAGGAUUGAUCCCUUCUAUCCAAAACAUGCCUUAAUCUAUUUUGUUUCAAUAAUUUACUUUUUUUGUUCCUAAAUGAAUUUUGGCAAGAUAAAAAGGCUACAAAAAUGUUCAAUUUAAGAUUAUGAGAGUAUGAUUCAAGUUAGGCAAAUUUUUGUUUUGUCAAUUUAAAACUUUUAAUCAAUUCAAGGCUAACAAAAUGCUUAUCUUCAACCCACUGAAAAAGAUCACAAUUUACACUCUGCAAAAUGUUAAAAGAAAAGAAUAAAUUUUAUCCAUCAACACAAGACCAAUGUUGGAUAAAUCAAUAAAUACCUAUAAUACCUCUUUGAACUUUCCACCCAUAAAAUUUUUUCCUAGAUUCUUCAAUGUUAUCGACCUAAGGAUUAGAGCCAUCACUCCACAAUAACAACCGAUGGUAGUAAAUUGAUUUCUUAUUCAUAAGCUAUAAUUUGAUCGUGAGUGCCCAAAAUAUCCACUUCUUUUUUAUGAAUCUUCAACAGAACCUCCAUAUUUUCUUUCUGCCAUUUUGCUUUCUUCAUUUGCCUUUGACUUGGUGAAAGGUAGCAACUUCGAAUUAUGAAGGGUAACAACUUCAAAUUUAGGGAUUUUCAAAGUGUAGCAGAGGUUAUGAAAAUUCCAAAUUUUCAGAUAGAGGGAAGUAAUUUUUUUUACUUAAACUUUAAUUCUCUAAUUUUUUUUUCAAAUUCAUUUAUCAAACGCCAAGUAAAAUACAUAUAAGUAGCCACGUCCAUUUUCAUGUAAAACAUAAGUUUUUUUUUUGCCAAAUGUCUAUUUUUAAUUGGCUAAAAUGGCCACAUUAGCCAUUCUUGUAACGGAGUUAAGUCAUGGACGAUAUUGAUGAUAGCACGAAAGUUUAAGUGCCUGAUUAAAAACUUUUUUAGUUUAAGUACCAUACUAGAAAAAUUACAAUAGUUCAGGAGUCAAAUGAUAUCCCUUAUAUUUAAAUUAAUUUUUUAUAUUUUAUAUUUCAUACGCUAAAUAUUAUUUUGUCAAAUAAAUACUAAAAAAUAACUUAUUGAAUAUUAUGUUUUCAAGUUUUAAUUUGUAUAAAUAUAUUAUUAUCAUUUUUUAACAAAACUAUUAUUUGACAUAAAAUAAUUUUACUAAUUUUUAAUUAUUUAUUAACUCCAUAACUGAUAAAUAAUUUAAAGUUUUCAUUAUACACGAAUUUUAAUCUAAUAUCUUUAAUAGUCAUUUUUCUUCUCAUUAAAAUUCAUUUCGUUAUCACUACUGUACUUGCAUCCCAACAUAUAUCUUACAACUGAUUUUAAUUUUAUCGCUACAAUAUUCAAUCUUAUAGCUAUAAUAACUAAUCCCAUAGCUACCGCUAUUUUCAAUUUUACUAGAAUCAAUUUCAUUACCCAUCUAAAUAGACCUUUAAUCUAUCACAUGGCACGUGGUUGAUUCUUUUGCCAACCCGUUGAGUUCUACCAACUCAUUUCGACUAGCUUGAAUAAUUCAAGUUUUGACCCACUGCACUAAACGAGUUAAGGUGGCAUGAGUUAUGCAACAAAUACUUGAAACUUGUCAGAUUGAGGAUCAAAACAUAUAAUGUCCUCCAGCAAUAUAAGUUAGAGUAUGAUGACGUUAAAGGUAAAUUAGAAAUUAAAAAAAAAAAUGAAACAUGUAAACUAUUUGAAUCUACAAGUUAUUCAUCAAAGUCAUGAAAAAGCCAGCUAAGGUUGGUAUAUUUUAAGUGUAAUACAUGUAUAUAUAAAAUGUUGUUCGAUGUAAUCAUAAUUUUUAACUAUUAUUAUUAUGGGUUAAAACAAUCUAAAUAAUGGAUUAAUAAAUUUGACUAAAAGUGUGUAACCCAAUAAAAGCUCAUGACUCAAAGGUCCAUAAGCUUAGCCAACAACCAUAUAGUCUAUUAAUAAAGCACUAGAUUUUUAGUUCUAAUGAUUAAAAAUCAAAUUCUAAUAGCUUAAAUAAAAAAAAAGUCUAUAAGGUUACAUUUGUAGGCUUGGGCAACAAAUCCAACCUGAAUGCUAAGAUGAGCUCUAUCCGAGGCAAGACAACUAUCCUCAUAUUCAUUUUCUUCAUUAGUUUAGUAUAAAUAGAAAUUCUUUUAGUGUGAACUUGGAGUUUAACUCAGUUGGUUCGUGCAAUCACCUUUAAGUGAUAGCAUUGAAAAAGUUUAAAAUCUAAAAUCUAAUAUUUGCAAUCUUUUUUUUUAUUCUCAUGUUACUGCCUAAAAAAGUUCUUUUAAUGUGAAAAAGGUUUUAGAGACCAAAUCAAACUUGCCUUUAUGUUUAUGUUUAUCCUUCAAUUUUUUUUACCUGUCGAGCACUUUUAUCCCUAUAAUAAGUAUUAAGGGUGAGAAUACUUAUUAAAGGUGAGACUACUUUGAUCAUCCUAAUUUUUAUUAAAAAGAUAAAAAAAAUACUAAUAAAAUGAAAUAUAAAUUUAUUUUUAAGAAAAAAAAUCAACCUAAAUGUAGGUUUUUAAUAAUUAAAAACUAUAUUGAGAUUAGAUUUGCAAUUACAUUAUACAUUAAUGUUGAAUUUUGUCAUUCUUGUUCAAUUUUAUUAAUUUGAUCAUCGUAUUUUUUAUUUUGUUAAUUUUAUUGAUAUAAAAUAAAAGAAUUGACAAAAAUUUAUGACUUCACUAAUGAAAUAUUUCAACUUUGUUUUUUAUUAAAAAAAAAACUAAUGACAUUAAAAGUAUAUUAACUAAACUUAAUAAAAUUAAAAUGUAAUAAAAUUAAUUGUCAAUCACAAGCUUAGAUAAAUAAUGAAGGUUGUGAUAGGAUAAUGGCCAGUGUAAAAUAUGAUCAAACCAUGAUGAGAGACUACAAUAAGAAUUUUCGUUGGGCCAUUACCUCCAUAGCAGCAUGCUACAUCUGAGUCAGGGUGUAUUAUUAAAUGGGCAAGGGUUGUUAAGUCAUUACUCAAAAGCAACAUGUCAAAUGGCUGCCUAGGUGUGGUGUCAAAUAGGCAACGAUUCUCAUAUUUUAAUGGACGAACAUGAGUAAAAAAGUUAGUUCAUAGGAGCAAGUUACACUUAAAUACUUCAAAUAUAGGAUUGCUAACCGGUAAACUAGUAGAGUUGGGAGACAUCACAACUAGGAGAAUAAUUAAUAUUGUGUCUUCAAAAAACUAAGUGGAUAAGGGAAAAGGUUAGAGACAUAAAAACAUAAGGCUCAAAGUUUUGGUACAUAAGUAAAUAAAAGAGUGCGAAUAAUUAUAGAUAAGAAUUUAAAAGAUGAUGCGAUUGAUGUUAAAAGAAAAAAAGAUAAAAUUUUACAUGUUAAACUUUUAUAAAGAAAGAAAACUACUAAUGUCAUUAGUAUUUACACCUUGCAAUAGGUUUAGAUCAAGUGAAUAAAUAAAAAUUUUAGAAAGAUUUGGACAAAGUAGUGCUAGCCAUACCAAAAGGAAAAAAGUUAUUUUUUAGAAGAGACUUAAAUGGUCACAUAAGCAAAGAUUGUAGUGACUUUAAAAAAACGCAUGAAAGGUAUGGCUUUGGAGAAAGAAACGAUACCAAAGGAUAAUAUUCUAGAGUUUAAUACUGCAUUUGACUUAACUAUAUGAAACACAUGUUUUAGAAAAAAAGAAUCAUAUUUGGUGACUUUUAGGAGUAGGUCAAACAUUAAUUAAAUUGAUUUUUUUAACAAGGAAAGAGUAUAUAAGUAGAUGUAAAGAGUGCAAGAUUAUAUCAAGUGAGAGUGUGACAGCACAACAUAGAUUGUUAGUUCUAAAUAUCUUUCACAUUCGGAGGUAAAGAGGCUACAUCAAUCAUGAACCACGUAUUAAGUGGUGGAACUUAAAAGGGAUAAAAUGUAAACUUUUAGGGAUAGACUAGUAAAAUAGGUUGAUUGAAAGUCUAUUGAGAAUAUAGAAGUAAUGUGAGAAAAAUUUUCUAUCAAAAUUCAAAUGGUUGCUAAAAGACAUUCAGCAAAUCUAGAGGCUGUGCACUAUUAAAAAAAAAAUCUUGGUGGUGGAAUGAAGAUGUAAAAAUGAUAAUCAAAGUUAAGCAAGAGUGUUAUAAGAAUUUAAAGAAUAAUAGGGAAGAGGCAAGUUAUCUAAAGUAUAAGACAGCAAAAAAAAAGUCAAAAAAAUUAUUCAAGAUUAAAAGACUAAGAUCCAUAAAGAGUUAUAUAGAAAACUAAAGACAAUAAAUGGAGAAAAGAAUUAUUCAAAAUUUGUUCAAAAUUGCUAAAAUGAGGGACAAGAAACAUAUGGAUCUUAAUGGUGUAAGAUGUAUCAAAAGCAUUGACGAAAAAGUUUUAGUGAAGGAUGAAGAGAUUAAAAAGUGAUGGAGAGAUUAUUUUGAUAAUCUCUUAAUGGUAAUUUUACGUAUGAUAUAAGUGAAAUUCACAUACUUUUUAAGAAUACAAAUCAUGUGUUUAAAUAUAAUAUUAAAAGGUAUAAGGUUAAAGAAGCUUUGAGAAAACUGAAAGUAAAGAAAGCUGUAGGACCUAAUCAAAUCCUAAUUGAAGUUUGGAAAUGCUUAGGUGAAAUAAAGAUGGAAUUGUUGAUGAAUCUUUUCAAUAAAGUUUGACGUACUCAAAAGAUGCUAGAAGAAUGGAAUAAGAGUACUUUAGUGCCUUUAUACAAGAAUAAAGGUGAUAUACAAAAUUGGUCGAACUAUUGAGUAAUAAAGCUUAUAAGUCAUAGAGAGAGCAAGUGAAUGUAGGUUGCGAUAUGAUAUCACUAUUUUUGAAACUCAAUUUGGAUUUAUGCCAAGACAUUUCACAAUAGAGGCAAUUUACCUAUUAAGGCUUUUGUUGAAGGAUUUUCAGGCAAAAAAAAAUAUCUACAUAUAAUAUUUAUUAACUUGCAGAAAGUAUAAGACAGAGUGCCUCGAGAGGUGUUUUGGUGGGCCUUAAUGAAGAAAGGAGUUUCUUUAAAGUACGUUAAUAUAGUUAAAAAUAUAUAUGAAAGAGUUGUAAUUAAUGUGAGGACAUUCAAGGCCUUGACUGAUAGAUUUCUUAUUACCUUAAGAUUGCAUCAAAGCUCAAUACUAAGUUUUUUUUUUUUUUUUGCAUUAGUUAUGGACGAGCUCAUUAGACAUAUCCCUGAUAAGGCAUUAUAGUAUAUGUUAUUUACCGAUGAUAUAGUUUUACUUGUUGAAACUAGUGAUAAACUUGAUGCGAAAUUAGAAUUCUGGAGGCAUAUGUUGGAGUCUCGAGGUUUUAAAUUGAGUAGAUUUAAAACUAAAUAUAUAGAUUGUAAGUUUGGUAGUAAUAAAGAAGCGAGUUAAGUUGGAUGGUGAGAUAAUACCAAAGAAUUGUCAUUUUUUAUAUUUGUGAUCAAUUAUUUAAAGUGAUACUGAGAUAAAAAAGGGAUUUAAAUCAUAUGAUUCAAGUAAGAUAGGUGGGGUGAAAAAGCACGUCGAGUAUAUAAUGUGAUUGCAACAUGUCUUUAAAGUUAUAUAGGACUGAGUGUUGAGCCAUUAAGAAUAACAUAAGAAGAAAAUAAGGGUAAUUGAGAUGAUGAUGCUUAGAUGGAUGUGUGAUAAAACUAGAAGAGAGAAAUUAGAAAUGAAGAGAUUUAAAAAAUAAUAAUAAAAGAUAACCUGAAUUGAGAAAAAUAUAAAAGAAGGUUAUUUUAGAUGUUUUAGACAUAUGAAAUGCAUGCCUAUCUAUGCAUUAGUUAAGAGAAAUGAGCUUUUAGAUUUGGAAACGACUAAAACUUUCUAGAAGUAGACCAUAAAAGACGCAGAUGUAGGUAAUAAAAAAUUAUAUAAGGGUAAAGAAGUAGAUAAAAAUGAGUGGCACAAAAAAAUUCAAAAUUAUAACCUAACAUUUUUUAUUUUACUUUUCAUAUAGCCGACCACAAAGUUAUAGGAUAAAAAAUUUAAUUUGUUUUUGUUGUAAAUUUUAAAAUUAAAUUAUGUAUAUUAAAAAUUUUAAUCUUAAUUAAAAAUUAAAAAAUAUAGUGAUAGAAAUGCUAGUUUUUACCAUUGAAGUUAAUGUAACAACAUUCAAAAUUCAUUCAAUUAAAGAAUUUAAGCAUUAUAUGAACCCAUGCGUUUAUUAAAAAUUUUGAUAUAAAAAUUCAAAAAUAAAAUUGUGAUAUGAGAAAUUUGAAAAAAAAAAUACAUGAUAUAAAAGUAAUCAUGUUCAAGAGUCGGUCGAGCUACCUGUUAGAGUCUAAAGGCAGCAAUUGUUCUUAAGUUAUUUUAUUCAUGAUUUAAAUUCUAAUAAAAAAGAAAUAUUAAAUAUUAAAUAAAAAUAUUUGUUUUAUUUUUUUAAUUUAAAAAAUAUUUGGACAGGCCUAAACUAUCUAUUUACUAAAUAAGCAAAUUUAGAUAAAACUUGAGAUUCUAAUUAUCGAGUGAGAUUGAAUUUGAACAAAGUAUAAAAUGUUGAUAUUAUAUUUAGAUAAGCUUGCAUAAAAUUUAUUUUCAUUCAUGUACAUUUAUAAAUAGAAGAAAAAAAUUGUUAGGAAAUAUAAAUAUUCUGCAACGACGGUGAUAUUUUUUUAGGAUAAUAAAUGUAGGAUGAUUGGAUUUCAUUUAAGAAAAAAAAAUUUAUCGAUCUAAAAAGGACAUUACAAAAGAUUUUGAUGGCUAAACUGUAAUAAGAAAAUUUAAUAACUUCAUAUCAAAUAACCAAAUUCAUGUAAUUAAGAAGGCGUGUUUAGGUAAUCAAAAUCGACAAUGAAACUUUUUAUUAUUUAUCAUAUGAUUUUUUUUUUUAAUUUUGGUCUUCUUCAGAUUUUAUCAUAUCUAGAAAAAAGAACAGUUGGCCCGUGGUCCUUUUCUUAGCUGCUCACUUGCCGUUGCCACAUAAUAUGGUAACAUGCCUUCUGCCUAUCGCUUUCAGCAAGGCAGUAUUUCAGGUCCAACUUGAUCCAUUCUUUUUAAUCCAACAAGUGAUUGAUUCAAUCGGUUAGAUUUAUCUUUUUCAAUAAAAAGAUUUUGGAUUUGAGUCAUGUCGAUGAUCAUUUGUUAGAGUCAUCUCAAAUGCAUGAUCUGUAAUCACUUAUAUUAAACUGUCAAGUAUGACAUAUAUUACCUUGACAUAAAAAACUGAGUAACCUAUCUAUCCCCGAAUUUUUCAAAACCAAAAAACAUAAAAUAUGAAAAGGAUUUACGUAAAAUUUAUUAGAUAAAUUUUAUGAAAUUAUUUUUUAAAAUUAAAAAUUAAAAUAUAUAUUAAAAUUUUGUUACAUAAAUUAAAUAUGUAAAAUUUAAUAAAUUUUUAUAUGAUUUUUAUAUAGGCAUUUUUAAUAAAAAUUUUGAUAAAAUUUUAUCGUUAAAUAAGUUUUCAACAAAUUUAAUUAUAAAUGACAUUUUUAAUAAUAUUUUUUACAUAUUAUUGAUUUUUUAAUUAAAUUUUAUUAAUUUAUUAAUUUAAAAUUUUUAUUAAAUUAUUUUUAAUAAAAAAUUUUAUAAAUUUUUACUUAAAAAACUUCAUAUAAGUUUUUCUCAUAAAAUAUACUAAUAAUUCUAAUGAAAGUAUUUUACUUAAAAUUAUUGUAAUACAAUUAAUUAAUUAUAGUUUAAAAUUAUGCAAAAUUUAUUAAAAUUUUAUGAGACUUACCCUUGUAAGUGAUGAAUUUUUAUAUAAUUUUUUAUUAUAAUUAAACAAUUAUAAUAUUUAAAAACAAUUAUAGAUGAUACGCUCCUAAUUCUAGUGGAUCUCUGACCCAACUUAUUGAUUAAAUCCAACCCUUUUUGAGGCUAAGUGCAUUUGGAUGGCAUCUCAUGGUGUAUUAUUUUUUAUUAUUUUUUAAUUUGUAAUGGAAAGGAGAAAGGGUGCAGUGAAUAUUGGAUCAUAGAUUGCUUUAGUGUAAAAUGAAAAUAAUUUUAUAUUGAUGUGUUUUUAUCCAAAAACAUUUUCAUAAUUAAUUUUAAUUUUAUUUUACAACACUGUCACUACUAUUCUUAAUUUUAUCAAAAUUAAAGUAAUUAUCCUUUCAAAUAGACCCUAAAAAAGCAUUUAUUUUCAUUUUUAUUUUCACACUACGUUUUCCUUUUGUCACUAAUAAAGACUCCAAGACCAUAAUCAUCUGAUCCCACCACCAACGAGGGAAGAAAGAAAGAGCAACAAGUUUUAGUCCAAAUGGAAACCGAAACUUCAUGGUAAGUAACACAAGCCACUCUUUUUUCUUCCACUCCAAUUUCCAAAUUUGAAAUUUGACUUGAAAAUUCCUUAUUCAUCUGACAUCCUAUCCUCUUCUUCUGGGAAAUUAAUUCUUAUCAAAUAAAGCCGAAGCAAUUUCGAAAUGAGCGAAAUGCUGGCAACAUAUCUUGCCUCAACAUCGCUGUUGGAAGAGGCAUGGAGGAUUUGCAGUAUCGCAAACACAAAGUUUCCAGGGGCUUACAUGGUGGAACAGAUUGGAAGCGUGGCCUAUGUUGCGUUUUCUGGCAUACAAAUGGAUUCUGGGUCAGACCAGACCAGCAGAAAUCUGGUGCCACUGGAUGCUGAAGACGAUGGCCUUUUCGCUCCUCUUUAUCGACAUAGCGAAGCAGAGGAGCCCAUCAAGGUGCAUAAAGAAAUGUUAAAGCUUUUCCUCUCAAUGUAUCCCAGUUUGCAAAUCCAGGUCAGAUUCUUAUCUUUUACCUUGCAGCAUAGUUAUACCAUAUAAAAUUUUCAUCUGUCUUUAUCUUUCAGUUUUCUUUGUUUAUGGUUUAACAUUUAGUUCAUUUUAUUAACAAUUUCUAAAGUUGAAAAAAAUCAAAAUUUUGACUUCAACAUUUAAAAAUAAUAAUAAUAAAUACAAACCAUCAAACACUUGUUGUAUUAAAACUACUAAAUCGCCAUUAAGCUCAUAUUAAUCAAAUUACACAAGACAAUUCGUACAUUUGUAUUUAUUUACUUGUGUUUAAUAUACGUAAGAUAUAAAAAUUAUUAUAUCAUAAUUUUUGUAAAUACACUGCACAAAACAUUUAUUUUAUUUUUAACAAAUUAAUUCAUAUACAAUAUUUUAUUAAAACUUUAAAUCUUAUUUUUUUUAUUAUUUUUAUAUCGUCAUUCAGUAUUUAAAAUUAUUAUGUAUACAUCAAACUGAAUGAAUUAUUGUUGCAAUUUUUUUUUUUAAAUGAAGAUACUGAAAUGUGAGAUUGACAGUUGAUAUAACUUUAAUCAAUAUUAGGGUGAGACAUGCGCUUCCUGCCUAAAACAUUUGAAUAUAUAUUUAUAUAAUCUAAUGUUAUGAUUUUAAUUUUUAAUUUUAUUUUUUAGCCGGAGGUUAGCUAGAUAUAAUAUCCUUUGCAAAUUUAUUUUAACAAUAUAUGUACAUAUAACUUACAAACAUAUAUAUAUAUAUAUAUAUAUUUAAGCAAAAUGAAUCCCUAAUCAUUCUAUUGAAAUUAAUUACUUACAAUGAAAUGAAUCUUCUAAUGUACCAUAUUUCUAAUUCAAUUUUAUCAAAAAUGAAAAGUUUAGUUAAUUUCAACAAUGGAGAUUUUUAUCAGUAUUUUUGUUAUUAUUAUUUUAUUUCUUAUUUUUUUUAUUUACGUAAUAUGCUAAGUAACCUCCUUGAUUUUUAAUUAACAAAAAAUAAUAAUAUGAAAAAAAUUAAAUAUAAUUAAUAUGAAUCACAAAUAAAAAAGCCAUUGCUUUUUAAACUUUAUUUAGGGUUUGAAUAUCACUAAAAUGUUAAAAUAAAUGAAAACCAGUAAUCAUGAAAUGAUUAAUUCACUUCCGCCCAUAGAAUAGGUGUGAAUAAAAGAAGCCAUGUAGUUAACUUUUCAAUUAAACGAUAGAUGAAUCUUUCACCUGUGUUGGUGCGAGCGAUGACAUCACCAUAUUCCCAGUUGAUGUGAAAAGGGUAACAGAAAGAAUAAAGUCACCACUUGGAGUUCAGCUACUUGUUAUUAAAAAGAGUGAAUUAGGGUAUAGGGUCCCAACUGCCAAAAGGAGAAACUUGAAUCAACCCAAAUUUCCAAAUCAUAUCAUAUCAUGAAAAUAAAUUUGAUCGGGUGAAUUCAAAUCCCACAUGACUUUAAUUAACUAUAAUUAGAAUAAAAUUUUAAUGUAAUUAUAUUUUUCAAAUAUUCCUAACCAUGUUUAAAUCAAGACAUGUCAAUUAUCAUAUUGAUUUUGAAGUUAAAAUUAUAGUAGUAUGGUAGACUGUGAAAGAGAAUGAGAUUUUUUAAUAUUUAGGUUUUUUUACCUUUUUAGUUUCGUUUAAUUGGAUGAUACUUUUGUUAUUUACAUUUUAUUAAAUAAAGAAGUGAAAAGCAAACAAAUUAAAAUAAAUUAAAAAUAAGUCACAAAUAACAAAAAGUAAAAAUGCCAACCAUAUGAAAUUAAUUUUAAUUAACCUAUUUAUUUGCUGUGAUUAGAUACUAUGUGGGUAAUUUUUUUUUUUAAAAAAAUAUAAGUACUUUUUUAAAAAUAUAUAUUAUAUAGAAAUUUGUUUUUCUAUAUGUGAAAGUAAAUAAGCAAUUAGGGAGUAACUAAUUAAUCAAGAAACGUUAUUAUUGAUCAAUAAUAACAAUAUAAUAGCAGCAAAAUCACAGGUCAAUUUAAUACUUGUAGUUGAUAAAAUAAAAAAUAAAAGACCAAUUAACUAGUUGAGUCCACAUACAAUGUUCUGAAGUAAGCCAAUUCAUUUGACAUUGAGGUCAAACUUCAAAAAAAGCCACCCCGGAGUGCACUCGCAUUUUCUUGCAACAUGCCAGUGGUGUCGGCAAAAUCUUUUUCGUACCAUUUCACAAACUCUCUUUUUUUGUCAGAAUUUGUUUUGUUGUUUUAUUAUGGUUGGUUGGGUCUAUUCUUAAAGCAAGCAUGCCUUCCAUUACGUCACCAUGGGGCUUCGCCAUUGUUCGUUUCGUUUGUCGCUUUUGAAAUCAUUCAAGAUGCUGUCGUACCAUUGCAAAAAUUGGAUCGUAUUAACCAGAAAAUUUUUACAUUAUUAUUAUUAUUAUUAUUUUGGUAAUUAUCCGAUUGUAGUUAUGAAUAAUAUAUCGAGUGGAGUUUAAUGGCGAACUUGAGGUAAAGAUCCCUGAUCUAUAAUCAAUUAUUGUAAUUGGUUUAUAUACAGAGCUAGUGAUUAUGUGGAUGGAGUAAGAGUCAAAUUAAGUUGAAUCAUUUCACAUUAAUGAAAUUUUGGAUCGUUUUAAAUGUUAUGAAAUUAUCUCUGAGUUUGUAUGAUUUUGUAUUCAAAUCAUCUGUGUUUAACUUAUUAAUUUUUAAAAUAAAAAUUGAAUUGAUUUCAAUUGCAUUGGUUGAUAUUUUAUCAACCUUAAUUAACAUUUUAAAGGUCACGUAAUCACAUUUUCUAUUUAUUUUUUCUUAUUGUGGUACACUUGCAAUUUUGAUUUUUUAAUAUCGUAAUUUUAUAAAAAAAAUUAGAUUAUAUGAAAGGACAAAAAGAUAAGUAACUUAAAAAUUAUUUACUAAACUAGUUAUUUUUUAUUAACAAAUUCCACACCCCUGGGAAAAAAUUAGUCAUUUAUUAUUUUUAUUGAUGUUUACUAUUCAUCCUUAUUGUACGGAUUACUAUUUUUUUUAGUUUACUAUUGACUAACUAGAUUUGCCAUAGCUUAUGAUUAUAACUUGCAAGCUCAUAAUUUCAAAAUCAAAUUAAUAUUAAAAGAAAAAAAUAAAAUUAUACUCGAUUUUUUUUUUCUUUUACUUGGGAUUGGGAUCAACUCAUGAAUUGAUUACUUUUUCCAUCUUAAUCUCCGGUGGAUGCAGAUUAUGGCGUUAAUGGGAAAAGUGAAGUCCAUAGUGAUAACGGGUCAGUCCAUAGGGGGAACAACAGCCUCCCUUUCAGCUUUAUGGCUCCUCUGUCAUCUGCAGUCCAUGUCUUCUCCAGUGACGACGGUGCUAUGCAUCACAUUCGGCUCUCCAUUGCUCGGCAAUGAAACCCUCCAUCGAUCAAUUCGCCGCCAAAGAUGGGUUGGAAACUUUUGCCAUGUUGUUUCCAAGCAUGAUAUCAUGCCAAGACUACUCUUUGCUGAAAUUGUUAAUCACAUUUCGAAAAUACAAGACCUGUUAAAUUUCUGGCACUGCUGCAUGGCUUCUCCACACAUCAUUGUUACAGGCCUUUCUUCUCAGCUACCCGAUGAUGUUAAAGAUACUAUUUUUCAAUGUGUUUUGAAGGACUUGGAACUGUUAGCACAAGCUGAAGAGCCAUCAGAAAGUUUGUUUUGGCCGUUUGGAAGCUUUGUUUUCUGCUGCCAAGAAGGUGCCAUUUGUGUAGAGAAUGCAGCGUCUGUUACUAAAAUGAUGUAUUUGAUGCUGGCAACAGCUUCUCCAUGUUGUAGCAUUGAGGAUCAUCUCAAGUAUGGAGAUUAUAUUGCUAAAGUUUCUAACCAGUUUUUGAAGGCUAGAAACUUCCAAGAAGAGGGUCUACCUGAUUCUAGCUGUGAAGCUGGAGUGGCAUUGGCAUUGCAGUCCUCACAACUAACUCACAAGGUACUCAUUUUUCUCACCAGGAAUACUUGGUUCCUUGCUGCCACGAUUAACAAAUAAUAUUUAGCAGAUUUGGAAUUAAAAUUCCACUAUCUAUAACCUCUUUUGCACUUGAAAGAAAGCCAAUUUUCAUCUUUACUUGAUUUAUUUUUUGAUUUUUGCUUUAACUAAAAUCAACUCAUAGGAAUCAGUUCAAGACCUUUGCUUAUCCAUGCAGAACCCAAACACAAGGAAAGAAGUUGCAAUUAUGGCCAAGGACUGCCUACAUAUGGCUCAAAAUGAUCACAACCCAAACCUCACUGCUGCCAAUCUAGCAAUAAAAUUGUCCAAGAUAGUGCCCUUUAGAGCUGAGAUUGAAUGGUAUAAAACCCGUUGCGAUGAGGCUGAUGAUCAAAUGGGUUAUUAUGAUUCCUUCAAGCUUAAGGGGGGUUCAAGAAGAGAGGCCAGAAUCAACAUGAACCGCCAUAAGCUUGCUGGGUUCUGGAAUAGCGUAAUCCUCAUGUUGGAAAGCAACAAGCUACCUCAUGAUUUUGACAGAAGAGGUAAGUGGGUAAACGCUUCCCAAUUCUAUAAGCUUCUAGUUGAGCCAUUGGACAUUGCCGACUACUACCGAACAGGGAUGCACCGCGAACAUGGCCAUUACAUUGAGCAUGGAAGGGAGAGGAGGUAUCAAAUUUUCGAUAAAUGGUGGAGGGACAGACGUGUUCCAGAGAAAGAAAAGAAGAGGAGCAAAUUUGCCAGCUUGACACAAGAUUCAUGCUUUUGGGCUAGGGUAGAAGAAGCCAGGGAGUGGCUAGAUAAUGUCAGAAGGGAGAGUGAUGUAACAAAGCGACGUCUGUUGUGGCACAAGAUUGAUGUGUUUGAAAAAUAUGCAGGGAAGUUGAUUGAGAAUAAAGAGGUCUCUAACGAUGUAUUAGCAAAAAAUUCAAGCUUUAGUCGAUGGAUGGAAGAAUGGAAGAAAUGAAAUCACAUGUCCUGCAAUUCCCUCCCUGGUUUCCAGAUUUUGUGGAUGGAGAGGUUGUUCCUUAGUCUGCUUUCUACUACAAACAUGCUUUUUGUAGGUUUGUAAAAUAUGUAAAAAACCAUUUCGUGUAGCUUUGGUUCAUGAAUUCGCUUUUAUUACUAUGGUGCACUUUUUACACAACCAUCCUGACCUGCAAAACUAUUCGGUCCAAUUCAAUCUGAAAUUUGGUUAUCAGAAUCAAUGUCCACUCAAAACUCUGAUGAAUUAAUCCUUUGAUUUUCACGAAUUCAUUAGAUCCUAUGACGUAAAUAUAUUUGCUUGAUGAAUCACUUAAACUCGAAAAGCAUAUGUUCGAAAUUUCAAUCUAUGCAUAAAUAUUUGAAUUUGUGAUUGAUGUUAAACCUUUUCAAUUCGGAAUUUCUAUGUUCCCAGCAGAUCCCUUGAACCAUUUUCUGGAUUAUCAAAGACUAACCCAUACCCAAAGCUAAAGGUGCAUAAUCGAAUGUGCCCCAAGUAAUUGGAUGUUAGGUUGGUAAAAGAAAGACUACAAGUGUUUACAAAUCCACAGAAAGUCAAUCAGGCAGACUGGUCCUCUUGCUCUGCCCAAAUAAAGUGGUCCAUCUUUAAAUUUCUCUGCAAUUACCAUUCUUGUAAAGAUUGGAACAGCAUAGCCACUAACCCACUGUCAUGGCCAGGCCUUGGUCCUGCCAUGACUGACUCUGAACCAAGCAACGGUCGAGAUCAAGCUUGCGAAAAAGUGGCUCUAAGAGUUGUAGGCGUGCAUUUGGAGCCUUGGAAUAUGUUACUACCAUAUUGUACGGGCAGUGGGAGCCUUGAACCACAAGAUACGCAGAAAAGUUCGAGACGACGGUCAAGCACCCUCAAGCCAAGUAGCCAGGUGGGUGCCACCGGUAGAAGCAGUGUGUGGGCGUUCCGAGCAUGGGAAUAUCUUGGGAAUAUUGUGUGUGGACGGUCCAUGUCCUAAACCCCGAGAUACGCAGGUAAGUAUAAGGCAGUACGUCGAUGCCUUGGGACCAGCUAGCCAGUCAGGUGCUGUCAGUCGAAGCCAUGUGCGGGCACCUUCGAGUGGGUUGGUGGAGCAACGAGCAGAAUCAAGGAGUAGUGGUGACCAAGAGAAGGGUCAUGGGGCCCUGAGUUAGCCGGAGAAAGGCCUUGAGAUGGAUGGAGAGCAAAGUGUCCCCAUUUCAGACAAUCUUACGGUCACUAGUAGGAGACUGAGAACAUCUCUUACGCUCUUUAUAGGGGGACAUCUGGUGUCAGCUCUCCACCACCCCCUUGGCUAGCGGGCAGGCGAGGGCCUGACUAGUCUGAAGUAAGCUAUUCCUAGUCACUAGUGGUGGCUAGGUGGGCGGGCAUUGUAUGGUCACGAGCGUGGCACGAUAUUUUCUCAGGUCACGGUAAAUCCGGGGGCGGUUGGGGUCGACGGACCUCGUAUCGCGCCUUUGCGUUGAACCAUGGGGUUAGACGGUAGAGAUCGUUAGGCCCCUCGGUUUCCCCUCCUCGAGCCGGAAGGAUCACGGGAUGGCGUUUGCGUAGAAGGGAUGCCAUCGAGCCAAAGGGAUGUGCGGGCUAGUAGGCAGACACGCUGCUAGACCCCUGUGGCCAGUCGGGAGAGGUGUGCUACAACUGGGGUAGUCCACCCAAGCCCCCUUACGGGAUUAGCAUGAUGGUUGGUGUCAACCAUGCGUACGGGCGAUUGGUGUGCUGCAGCUGGGGGCAGUCCACCCAAGUCCCCUUGCAGGACUAGCAUGAUGUUGGGUGUCAAUCAUGCGUGCGGGCGGCCGAUACUAAUGCUAAGGGCCUAAGCCCUAAGAAUAGAGUCUCGUGGGAUGAGACGAGCCUAGAGGCUUCGAGCUGGUGGUCGACCAGCUUAGUUGUGGUGCUUGCGUAAACUUGAUACGGGAGCUUGCGUACGAUACGGGCGGGCAUGAUGUUGGGUUCUCACCAUGUCAAGAAGUGAUAAUAUCAUGAGAACCGAGACUAAGUGUCCCUACGAGCAAUCGAGGAUCGAGGCUCAAGAUUCAAAGCCCUACGGGAAGAGAUGGGUGCUCGGGACUACGUUAAGAAUCGAGGGUUAUGUGCUCCGAUGGGGAUUCGAGGGUCAGUGCUCGAGGCCUUAAGCCUUGCGGCCAGAAGGAUCGCUGGCUGAUGCGCGAUGAGAGUUGGGUUACUCUCUGUAGAGUUUGGAAUGAGCGAUCCUAUGGGGUCAAAACCAAAAAAGGCUCGUGGGCAUGUGGCUUGAAGGAUCGAAAUUGGUCUGUCCAUAAAAAAAUGGACACGAUAGAAGGCUGACCUUGACUAGGAUUAGUCUUGGUGCUGCACGGACACGUGGUUUCAGAAGGAGGAAUGCACGGAUCAUGACAGAUUUGGUAUCGAGCCUUGGUUUGGCUCAGUGGCGAGAUUUACAUGACCCCAUGUGCGGGCCUAAGUGAAGUGAAAUCGAGGUGGUGCCAAGCUCAAAAAGAGCUACCAAGAUGCGAAUACGGUUCUGUGGCUAUGGGGGCUCAGAAAUGAGCCAACGACGCGUGUUGCGGGCAAUAUUGGGCCUAUGUAAAAAGGCUCUCGAGUAGGCUCUUGGAUGCCAAGCAAAAAGGCACCAGAGUCUAGCCUCACCUAGAAAAAGAUGUUGGCAUAUGUUGGGGCAUGGGAUGCCUUCACAGUGGAAGGAACCGUAGUGAAACCAAGAUGCGAAAAGGGGCUUACACCAUGAAAUGGUGUUGCGUAAGGCCAUGUGGGCCGAGUGAAUCUUGUCUUGAGAGGCAGGAGGUAUCGAGUUCCAAGAUUAAUUACUGAUGUGUGCACUUGCUGCAUGGUGCAGGUGCCCCAGCGGGGGUGCAAGCCGAAGUAUUUGGGUCCAAGCAUGGAGUCCUUACACAGAGGAGUAUGGAGUGGCUAAAGAUUAAAGCCACGAGUGGAAGGGUCGGUGGACCAUGAGUUGCAUUGGUCAAUGGACCAUGAGUUCUCGUGGUCAGAAGAUCACGAGAGUGUGUGAAUCAGUGAACUGAGUCUGUGUUGGCCGAUAGGAAAGGCUUCACAUGAGCUGUGGUGGUCAGUGGGACACGACAGGGUGUAAUCUGGUGAAACAAGCAAAGGGAAAUGGCCAGUUGACAAGGCCUCAGACAUGUAGGUCAGUGGACCUUGAGGAGUGAGCGGGUAAAUCCCCGAGUCGAGCAAAUCAGUGGACUAGGCAUUUUGUCGGAUCAGUGGAUCUUCGAGUAUGUGCGGAUUUUGAGAUGUCAUAGGUGCCAUGCUAGAUUCAAGGCAAACAAGUAGUAGAUUCAUAAAGAAGACAUGGUUGCGCAUAAUGCUGCAUCAAGUUUUGAGUAAAAGUGGGAGAGACCUGUCAAUUCCCCGUGAGACUGAGCCAAGACAGAGGAGCUUGAGCAAUGGAGCACAGUGUUCAAGCCGGGAACAGAGACCGAGUUAGCGUGCAUUAAGGUGUCGUCUUGAGGGCGGUUGGCCAGAGGGCCACACCUAAAGGGGUGACCUUGGAGGGGUCGAGAGGACCCAAGUUAGGAGAUGGUCAAAGUGCCUAAAUGCCACUGUGCUAGGGUCUAUCAUGUAGGGUGCCGUAUGAGUGCGAUUGACCUAAGAACCACAUCCAGAGGGGCGCAUCAAAAGGUUGAUGCUGCAAACGUGCAGUUGGUAUGAGGGGUCACGUCCGAUGGGAUGUACCAAUGAGUGGCAAAGCGGAUGGUCAUUCAUUCUACUGAGGGUCAUUGAUCAAUGAGGGUGCCUCGAGGUCGUAACACGACAUGAUCAAGGGAUGAAGCAAUGGUAUGGCCCAUAUGAGAACAACCGAGAUAGGUUAGGAGGUUCCAGCUAGAACAGAGCUGAGCGACAACGUGAUCCAUCUACAUCAACAAUGGACGAGUACUGUGGAUGGCACUUUAUGUGACGGGACCUCGACCCAAUUCUUGAGGGCAUAAGUGAAAGACAUAUGAGUAAAUGUCAACUGUGUGCAACAAGAUAGUUAGGGUGUGGUCUUGGCGUCGAUGAGGGCAUCGACAUAGUAAGUGAGGGAGAGUGUCAUGGCCAGGCCUUGGUCCUGCCAUGACUGACCUUGAAUCGAGCAGCGAUUAAGAUCAAGCUUGCAAGAAAGUGGCUCUAAGAGCUGCGGGCGUGCAUUUGGAGCCUUGGAACAUGUUACUACUAUGUUGUGCGGGCAGUGGGAGCCCUGAACCGCAAGAUAUACGAGGAAGUUUAGGACGGUGGUCAAGCACCCUCAAGCUAAGUAGCCUGGGGGGUGCCACCAGUAGAAUCAGUGUGCGGGCAUUCUGAGCAUGGGAAUAUCUUAGGGAUAUUAUGUGUGGACGGUCCAUGUCCUAAACCUCGAGAUACGGAGGUAAGUAUAAGGCAGUACGUCGGUGCCCUGGGACCAGCUAGCCAGUCAGGUGCUGUCGGUCGAAGCCAUGUGCGGGCACCUUUGAGUGGGUUGGUGGAGCAACGAGCAGAAUCAAGGAGUAGUGGUGACCAAGAGGAGGGUCAUGGGGCCCUGAGUUAGCCGAAGAAAGGCCCUGAGAUGGCUGGAGAGAAAAGUGUCCCUAUUUCAGACAAUCUUACGGUCACUGGUAGGAGACUGAGAAAAUCUCUUACGCUCUUUAUAGGAGACGUCUGGUGUCAACUCUCUACCACCCCCUUGGCUAGCGGGAAGGCAGGGGGCCUGGCUAGUCUGAAGUAAGCUACUCCUAGUCACUAGUGGUGGCUAGGUGGAUAGGCAUCGUAGGGUCACGAGCGUGGCACAAUGUUUCCUCGGGUCACGGUACACCCAGGGGCAGUUGGGGCCAGCGAGCCUCGUAUCGCGCCUUUACGUUGAACCAUGGGGUUAGACGAUAGAGAUCGUUAGGCCCCUCGAUUUCCCCUCCUCGAGCCGAAAGGAUCACAAGAUGGCAUUUACGUAAGAGGGAUGCCAUCGAGCCAAAAAGAUGUACAGGCUAACAGGUAGACACACUGCUAGACCCCUGUGGCCAGUCAAGAGAGGUGUACUACAGCUGGAGCAGUCCACCCAAGCCCUCUUACGAGAUUAGCAUAAUGGUUGGUGUCAACCAUGCGUGCGGACGACUGGUAUGCUACAGCUGAGGCAGUCCACCCAAGUCCCCUUGCAGGACUAGUAUGAUGUUGGGUGUCAAUCAUGAGUACGAGCGGCCGAUACUGAUGCUGAAGGCCUAAGCCCUAAGAACCGAGUCCCGUGGGAUGAGACUAGCCUAAAGGCUCCGAGCUGGCGGUCGACCAGCUUAGUUGUGGUGCUUGCGUAAACUUGAUACGGGAGCUUGCGUACGAUACGGGCGGGCAUGGUGUUGGGUUCUCACCAUGUCAAGAAGUGAUAAUAUCAUCAGAACUGCGACUAGGUGUCCCUACGAGCAAUCGAGGAUCGAGGCUCAAGAUUCAAAGCCCUGUGGGCAGAGCUGGGUGCUCAGGGCUACGUUAAGAAUCAAGGGUUAUGUGCCUCGAUGGGGAUUCGAGGGUCAGUGCUCGAGGCCUUAAGCCUUGCGACCAGAAAGAUCACGGGCUGAUGCGCGAUGAGAGUUGGGUUCCUCUCUGUAUAGUUUGAAAUGAGCGAUCUUAUGGGGUCAAAGCCAGAAAAGGCUCGUGGGCAUGUGGCUUGAAGGAUCGAAAUUGGUUUGUCCGCAAAAAAAAAUGGACACGAUAGAAGGCUGACCUUGACUAGGAUUAGUCUUGGUGCCGCACGAACGCGUGGUUUCAGAAGGAGGAACGCACGGAUCGUGACAGAUUUGGUAUUAGAGCCUUGGUUUGGCUCAGUGGCGAGAUUUACAUGACCCCAUGUGCAGGCCUAAGUGAAAUGAAAUCGAGGUGGUGCCAAGCUCAAAAGGAGCUACCAAGACGCGAAUGCGAUUCUGUGGCUAUGAGGGCUCAGAAAUGAGCUAACGACGCGUGUUGCAGGAAAUAUUGGGCCUAUGUAAAAAGGCUCUCGAGUAGGCUCUUGGAUGCCAAGCAAAAGGGCACCGGAGUCUAGCCUCACCUAGAAAAAAAUGUUGGCAUAUGUUGGGGCAUGGGAUACCUUCACGGUGGAAGGAACCGUAGUGAAAUCAAGAUGCGAAAAGGGGCUUACACCAUGAAAUGGUGUUGCGUAAGGCCAUGUGGGUCGAGUGAAUCUUGUCUUGAGGGGCAGGAGGUAUCGAGUUCCAAGAUUAAUUACUAAUGUGUGCACUUGCUGCAUGGUGCAGGUGCCCCAGCGGAGGUGCAAACCGAAGUAUUUGGGUCCAAGCAUGGAGUCCUUACACAGAGGAGUAUGGAGUGGCUAAAGAUUAAAGCCACGAGUGGAAGGGUCGGUGGACUAUGAGCUGCGUUGGUCAGUGGACCAUGAGUUCUCGUGGUUAGAAGAUCACGAGAGUGUGUGAAUCAUUGAACUGAGUCUGUGUUGGCCGAUAGGAAAGGCUUCACAUGAGCUGUGGAGGUCAGUGGGACACGACAAGGUGUAAUCUGGUGAAACAAGCAAAGGAAAAUGGCCAGUUGACAAGGCCUCAGAAGUGUAGGUCAGUGGACCUUAAGGAGUGAGCGGGUAAAUCCUUGAGUCGAGCAAAUCAGUGGACUAGGCAUUUUGUCGGAUCAGUGGAUCUUCGAGUAUGUGCGGAUUUUGAGAUGUCAUAAGAGCCAUGCUAGAUUCAAGGCAGACAAGUAGUAGAUCCAUAAAGAAGACAUGGUUGCGCAUAAUGCUGCAUCGAGUUUCGAGUAAAAGUGAGGGAGACCUGUCAAUUCCCCAUGAGACUGAGCCGAGACUGAGGAGCUUGAGCAAUGGAGCACAAUGUUCAAGCCGGGAAUAGAGACCGAGUUAGCGUGCGUUAAGGUGCCAUCUUGAGGGCAGUUGGCCAGAGGGCCACACCUAGAGGGGUGACCUUUGAGGGGCCGAGAGGACCCAAGUUAAGAUAUGGCCAAAGUGCCUAAAUGCCACUGUGCUAGGGUCUAUCAUGUAGGGUGCCGUAUGAGUACGAUUGACCUAAGCACCAUAUCCAGAGGGGCGCAUCAGAGGGUUGAUGUUGCAAACGCGCAGUUGGUAUGAGGGGUCACGUCCAGUGGGACGUACCAAUGUGUGGCAAAGCGGGUGGUCAUUCAUUCUACUGAGGGUCAUUGAUCAAUGAGGGUGCUUCGAGGUCGCAACACGACAUGAUCAAGGGAUGAAGCAAUGGUAUGGCCCAUAUGAGAACAACCAAGAUAGGUUAGGCGGUUCGAGCUAGAAUAGAGCUGAGUGACAACGUGAUCCAUCUACAUCAACAAUGGACGAGUACUGUGGGCAAUGCUUUAUGUGACUGGACCUCGACCCAAUUCUUGAGGGCACAAGUGAAAGACAUAUGAGUAAAUGUCAGCUGUGUGCAACAAGAUAGUUGGGAUGUGGUCUUGGCGUCGAUAAGGGCAUCGACAUAGUAAGUGGGGGAGAGUGUAAUGGCCAGGCCUUGGUCCUGCCAUGACUGACCUUGAACCGAGCAGCGAUCAAGAUCAAGCUUGCAAGAAAGUGGCUUUAAGAGCUACGGGCGUGCAUUUGGAGCCUUGGAACAUGUUACUACCAUGUUGUGCGGGCAGUUGGAGCCCUGGAACGUAAGAUAUGCAAGGAAGUUCGGGACGGUGGUCAAGCACCCUCAAGCCAAGUAGCCUGACGGGUGCCACGAGUAGAAGCAGUGUGCGGGCGUUCCGAGCAUGUGAAUAUCUUAGGGAUAUUGUGUGUGAACGAUCCAUGUCCUAAACCCUGAGAUACGCAGGUAAGUAUAAGGCAGUACGUCGAUGCCUUGGGACCAGCUAGCCAGUCAGGUGCUGUCAGUCGAAGCCAUGUGCAGGCACCUUCGAGUGGGUUGGUGGAGCAACGAGCAGAAUCAAGGAGUAGUGGUGACCAAGAGAAAGGUCAUGGGGCCCUGAGUUAGCCGGAGAAAGGCCUUGAGAUGGAUGGAGAGCAAAGUGUCCCCAUUUCAGACAAUCUUACGGUCACUAGUAGGAGACUGAGAACAUCUCUUACGCUCUUUAUAGGGGGACAUCUGGUGUCAGCUCUCCACCACCCCCUUGGCUAGCGGGCAGGCGAGGGCCUGACUAGUCUGAAGUAAGCUAUUCCUAGUCACUAGUGGUGGAUAGGUGGGCGGGCAUCGUAAGGUCACAAGCGUGACACGAUGUUUCCUCGGGUCACGAUAAACCCGGGGGCAGUUGGGGCCAGCGGGUCUCGUAUCGCGCCUUUGUGUUGAACCAUGAGGUUAGACGAUAGAGAUCGUUAGGCACCUCGAUUUCCCCUCCUCGAGUCGGAAGGAUCACGAGAUGGCGUUUACGUAGGAGGGAUGCCAUCGAGCCAAAAUGAUGUGCAGGCUAGCAGGCAGACACGCUGCUAGACCCCUGUGACCAAUCAGGAGAGGUGUGCUACAGCUGGAGCAGUCCACCCAAGCCCUCUUACGAGAUUAGCAUGAUGGUUGGUGUCAACCAUGCGUGCAGGCGACUGGUGUGCUGCAGCUGAGGUAGUCCACCCAAGUCCCCUUGCAGGACUAGUAUGAUGUUGGGUGUCAAUCAUGCGUGUGGGCGGCCGAUACUAAUGCUGAGGGCCUAAGCCCUAAGAACCGAGUCCCAUGGAUGAGACUAGCCUAGAGGCUCCGAGCUGACGGUCGAUCAGCUUAGUUGUGGUGCUUGCGUAAACUUGAUACGGAAGUUUGCGUAUAAUACGGGUGGGCAUGGUGUUGGGUUCUCACCAUGUCAAGAAGUGAUAAUAUCAUGAAAAUCGGGAUUGGGUGUCCCUACGGGCAAUCGAGGAUCGGGGCUCAAGAUUCAAAGCCCUACAGGCAGAGAUGGGUGCUCGGGGUUACGUUAAGAAUCGAGGGUUGUGUGUCCCGAUGGAGAUUUGAGGGUCAGUGCUCGAGGCCUUAAGCCCUGCGACCAGAAGGAUCGCGGGUUGAUGCGCGAUGAGAGUUGGGUUCCUCUCUGUAGAGUUCGGAAUGAGCGAUCUUACGAGGUUAAAGCCAAAAAAAAGCUCGUAGGCAUAUGGCUUGAAAGAUCGAAAUUGGUCUGUUCGCGAAAAAAAAUGAACACGAUAAAAGGCUGACAUUCACUAAGAUUAGUCUUGAUGUCGCAUGGACGCGUGAUUUGAGAAGGAGGAAUGCACGGACCGUGACACCCACCCUAUCAUACAAAUGGGAGUUACGGCUGUAAUUAUACCCAUUAAAUAUGAGAAAUUGGUGAAUAAAGUCGAAUUGUAAGAAUUACUAAAGCAGCAUUUUUUUCGAGUAUUUCUAAUCUAAUUCAUCCAAAUAAAUUUAAGUAAAUAUUUUUUUAUAAAUUAAAUUGACCAAUCAAAAAGAUUUUAAUUAUGAAAUAUAAAAUAAUUUAUAACGUCAUAGUUCUAAUUACAAUGAAAUAAAAAUUUAUUAAUCUUAAUUUAACAAUAAAAUUUUUAUUUUUAUUCUUUAAUAAAAUUUGAGUCCUUAUUCAAUUAUUAUAUUUUAAUAAAAAGAACAUCAUAACUGUCGCGUAGUUUUUAUUAAAAAGAAUUACUUUUUAAUAAAUAAUAAUAGAAGCCAAUUGAUUUUUAAAUUUGAUUUGUGGUUGGAGUUGGUGUUUAAAAGUUAUAAGUUUAAACAAAUUUAUAUGAAUAAUAUUUUUUUUAAAUAGAUAAAUAUGAAAGUAACGGGUUCCAUAAUAGAUUAAAAAUUAUAAAAACAAAAAAUAAAAAGCAACAAUUACUAUAUUAAUUAAAGUUUUAUGUACUAACAUAUACUACCGAUAAUUGGUGAACACUUGAUAAUUUGCUUUUAAAUAAAAAAAAUAGUAAAAUCCGAUUGACCAUUAAAUUUGGUUUGUCAUUGGAGAUAAUGUUUGUAGGUUACAAGUUUAUAUAUUCUUUUUCAAUCAAGUAAAUAUAAUAAUAAUGGAUUCAAUGAUAGAUUAAGAAUUUUAAAAAUAAUAAUAUAGAAAACAAUAUUUUAUUAUGUUGAUUAAAGUUUUUAUGUCCUAACACUACUGAUUUCAUAAUUGAUGAAUAUAUUGGAGGACUGAUUCCGCUACUUAAUAAAAAAAAUAAAAAUUUUCAUUACCUUACCUAAAGACAAUUAAUUACUUUUAAUUAAAAUUAAAAUUAAUAUUUUGUUAAUCAUUUUUAUUUUUAAUUAAUUUUCAUUGAUUUUAAUAUUUAAUUAAAAAUCAUUUAACUUUAAUUACAAAUUUAAUUAAAAGUGCAUUAUUCAUCUUUGAUAAAAUAAUAGAAAUGUUUAUUAUUUUUUAAGUAAUGGAAAUAUCUUUUCUGCUUUUAUAAAGCUAGCUAGAGAAGCAAAGCAAUUCUAAUCAGGCCGUGGCAAUUCUACAUUUUGUUUUUUUUCAUCAAGUCGAUAUGCAUUUAUCCAUCUUUUUCCUUCUUAGAGUUCACAUCAAGACGACAUCGUGUUUUCUAAUACUAGCUAUUAAUCACUAGCGAAUUAUUGCAAGUUGAUUAGUCAAAUAUUUGAUGAUUUUAUGGGGAAAUUUACGAGUGGCACACGAGAAGAAACUCCAACUAAACAUUGCCCAUGUAUAGCAUAGACAUGCAAUAGAGGGAAAUCAACCUUCAAACUCUUGUUCAUGUACUAGUGUUUCCGCUGUAAGCCUUCAAGUCCAAAGAUGCGGGUAUUGAUACAAAUUUUAAUCUAUUCUUUCAACUCUAUCCAAGUACUACAUAAUUUACAAUGUUUGACAAUCACUGGAUAUGAAAGCAGUUUAGAAGCAUAAAUGACUUUGACUGUAGAGUAGCUGCCAAUUCCCUGUUGACCUUUGGAUCCUUGCUCCUCCAAGCAUGAUGAAAACAGUGAUUUUGCAACCAGGGGGACCAAGAAAAUAAAUUUCCCAGUUCAAAAAAUGGGAAUGAAAACUGCCAUUUUUCUCAUCUUCAUCUCACUAAAUCUGUGCCAUCCAUUGUGCCCACUAGGUCCUCUGAAGUUGUGUCUGUCUCCUCCGCACUGAAAACAACCAAAACCAGCAGGGUCAAGGAAAUGAAUUUCUAUCUUACAAUGCAUACAUGCAAUAGUCUCCCAUCAAAUCCAAAGAGUAGAAUAUUAAGCUUGAGAAUGAAACAAUAAUUUCUCGUAUUCAACAGUAAGACUCUUUGUUACAAUGUACCAGGGCAAGUUCCAGGUGCACAAGAAGACUCACCUUACUUUCUCCUAAAAUAGAAAAUUCUACUCUGGAAGUGGUUAAGGGAGUGGGAAGAGAGAGAGAGAGAGAGAGUGUGUCUAACCAGAAUUCUUCUUUUUCUUCAAUGAAGCCUGCUUAGGACCUUUCUCCGUCUUGGUAGAAAUAUCUUUGUAUCUUUCAAGUACUCUUUCUUUCUCUUCAGGUAAGCCCAACACCUCAUAUGCAUCUGCCACUCUUUGAACUAUUGAUCUCUCAGGAGGUUUGCGAUCAAAAGCUUCCAAGUCCUUGAAAAGCUUUAUGAUAACAAUAAAGAAUAGGUCAAUACAAAAUAUUGGAUAAAGUAGUUAGUUACGAGAAAAUAAGAACAAGCUAAACUUUUAAUUAAGGAAGACUCAAGGAAAAAAAAAAAAAAGACCAUAACAACUAUCAUAAGAACUUGGACAAUUGCCUCUUAAGAGUAAGGCCUGUCAAAGAUCAGGAAACUGCCUCUACAACAUAAAAUAUUACUUCUGCCAAGGUAUCUUUUCAACAAACUUACACCUGUUUGGAAUAUAAACUCAAACAAAUUGUCUACGGUGUUUGAAGCUUGGUCAGAUAUGGGAAAUAAACUUUAAAGGAUAGACUAAAAAUGUCAAAUUCAGAAAUAUGCAAUAUGAAGAUGCAUAAUCUAGAUGGUGAUUAUCACCACUAUAACUAUGAUUAUGUACAGAAGUUCUUUGAGACCCAACAAUUAACCAUUUAGCACAAUCAUUUAAAUAGCUGCCUCGGUCGCUCAGACCAAGUGGCAUCAUGGUGAGGCACCUUGCACCAUCUUUCAUCCAGGAUUUUAUUUCUUGGUGGCAUUUGGGCAUGCCAGGAAAUGUGAAGUUAUUGGGGCAACAAACAGUGUUACUGGUUCCAGUGGUGGGAAGGGGGAGGCAGGGAGCAAGGCAACAGGUGAAGAUCCUGGCAGCCAGCAAGAGAUUGAGCAGAUAGCCCAAGUGUGAUGGAGACGUGACAAGUGACAAGCAGGAAUUCCUUUGUGUUGUGCUUGUUCCCCACGUCCUAAAAUGGGCAAGCAUGGGUUGCAGUUCAGUGAUAUGACUGAGCUAGAGAUGGUUCACAUCGGGCUGCUGCCAUAGGGUUAGCCUUGUUCAAUCAAACUUUCCACUCACCACCAAAUUAAUUUGCUAUUUAUGUGCAUUUUCCAGUUGGCUAAUUUUGACAUGAUGUCUCUCCAAUCAGACUUUGUGACAUGAUGUCUCUCUGUCAAUUUUAUUGAGGAUUUGGAUUUUUUACUCCCUUGUAUCUCACCACACUAUCUCCAUAAAAUCACUUUUUCUCCCUGAAAUCUUAUCAUCAUGACAUUAAUGUGGUCAAUUAAUUCUUAGAUAAUCCCAUAUCAUCCCACUUUCUCUCAUCUGUCAUCGUUACCUGAAAUUUCUACGGAUUCCGCUUGCCUCCUCUCUUGCCUCUUCACCUCUUCCUUGUUACUUGCUUGCAACACAACCCAGAACAUGAGCUCAGUAUUGAAAAAACUUUCCUCUAAGACCAGGGAACUAGACACGUCUCACCCUUAGCAAUUAGAAACGUUAAGGGAACAAUACUGGCACAAGAAAUGCUCAAAUUAGCAGUAGAAAGAAAAAAGGAUUGAUGUUAAACACGCAAAGCCAGCUCAGUUGGAACCUUUUUAUAUACCCGGUAGGGCUGUCCUCAGUCUUAGGAAACAUCCAGCAUGUCCACAUCUGUAAGAAACUAAUUCAACAGUCUUUUCCUAAAUUUUUCACGAGUUGAAAUACUUCUUUAGCUAAUUAUGCACUGAUUGCAAAUGAUAAUGGUGGUAACUGGUGAUCCUAGUAGUUAUACAUGGUUGGCCAAGCAUCAUGACCUCAAGUUUAUGGUGGCAAUGACUUUACAUACAAUUUGCUCAAAAUGGCUUUAGAUAUGCAUUGACAUCACUGGACCCAUUGUGUGGCUUGUUUCAAGGCAUAGCUCCCCCUAAGGAAGCAUAACAGCUGCUUGCACAGGCCCUUACCAUUUAGGCCUUUCCUGCUAUUGGUUCCCAAAUGAGUAGAGGCUUGUAUGCUCGUACCUAUAGAGAAGUGUUACAAUUUUACUACCCCACUACCCUUUCAGCAGGUAUUUAUUUUGUUUUAAAGAUUUUUUUCAGUUUAGUUUGAUUUUUGUUCAACUACUGCAAGUAAAAGAAUAAAGAUACUCUGAAAGCUCCUACAAAAUAAACUAGAUAUUUUCAGCUUUUUCCAACUGAUGACACAAAUUAUACUAAAACUUGUAAUAUAAAUAAAGGAAGACAUAAUUACCAAAGAUCAGGAAUAUGAAAUGCAUGUGUAAUAGAUGAUUAACUAACGAAUAAGAUUAGACCAAUCAUUUAUAACAUGUACCUACAGUUCAAAAUGCAUAUAAUUGACAGUUAGCGAAACAAAAACAUACCUUUACAAGAUUCUCCAGCAUGUUGUUUCGAUAGUAUACAGAUAUCAUGAGUCUGCAUAACUGCCAAGGCACUGAAUGUAGAUCUGCACUGACUUUCUUCACCCAAAACUGAUGUGCUUCCUCUGCUCUAUUAUCCAUAUCCAAAGCUCGUAGUAACUGUACAUAUGUUCCCAUUGUGUUUCCCUGCCCCUUGCUUAGCAUCCAUUUAAUAACCUAAGAGGGAAGAACAGUUGUUGAAUUCACAUCCAGAGACUUGACAUGAUUCGUGAAAUUUGAAGCAGGAGGUACUUAAGUAUACAAUUUGAAGAUUUUACUUUUACCUUUCCUCUUACAAGUAAAAGUAUUAAUUAAAACAGCAACAAACUGAAAAAAAAAGUACUUUGUAAUAUGGGGAAGGCAACAACUCAUGCUUAGCAUAGCAGUUGUUACCCUCUUUAAGAGGAUUUAGGCCCAAAGUUAGAAUCCUCCCCUCCCCCUUGUAUCUCCCAUAUGUACCCCAAAAAAUAAAAAGUGGGGAAGGCUAAUACUGAUUGAAGUGCCCUCACCAAAACUAUUCUGAUAAAAGUGAGACCAUAAAAUUGAACAUGUUAUAGUAAGUAGAGCCAUCUGUUCCUGUCAAAAUGAAAAUCAAGUCUAAAUAAUAAGCAAACAAUCAACCUUCUCUCUUGAUUAUUUUUGGAUAUUAUUCUUCUUGCAAGUGGUUGUUUCCAAUGUGUGCAAGACUUGCCCUAACCUACACCAAGAAACAUAAGAAGCCAACAGCCAAGAAAAUGUACUUUUCUUACUACUACAAAGAUUAGUUCACUUAUUACCAAGAACCCCAAGUACCCUGGAUGGUAUCUUCUUUCUUAACUUGUGAUAUAAAAAAAAAAAAAAAAUCACAAGUAAACUAACUAAACAUUUCAAGUGACUAUGUAAUAACGUGUGAUGCAAAGAGAACAUAUAUCAUUCAGACACAGAGAGAGAAAGGGGAAAGCUCAUUAAAAUGCAAAAAUAUAAGUGGAGUGAGACUAACUGCUGAUACCUGAACAACUCUAUGCCACUGAUGCUCCUUCUCAAGAGCAAGGAUUACAUUUUUAAGAGGUCCAAUAGGAAAAUUCUGCUCCCAAGCAACCCACGCAUCAAGAGCACCAUAUACAGCUUCUUUGCUGUCUUUAAUAUCAAGAAGCUGCAUAGAUAAAGUUACAUUACCAAGUUAACAACUGAUUUUAGCAUGCAAAAUUAAAGCCACAAAGGAAAAUAAAAAAGAUGAUAAGCUUUUGUACUUACUGUAGUUACAAGAAAUUUAAUUUUAUCCUUUCUUGAAACAUUCUGCCCAAUUUGGUGCUUCAGUAUGCCUCCAACAUUUGGUUUGGGAUAGAGAUUCUCAGCUUGGUUAUUACAUCGAUCCUUAAAUGAUUCCCAUAUCAAUUAAGACAAUAAAAAAAAUGAACUCAACAACACAAAAAGUUGAAAAAACUCAUCUGAAAUUAAGAGCAUUUAAAAAACAGAUGGAAAAUGAUUAACAAAUUAAUAAGAUGAGGUAUCUCUGUAAACAUCUAUUAUAUUUGUGAAAUCAUGCUUUUCAAAAAAUAAAGAAACCCAUUUUGUACAAGAAGUAAGCACAAAAAGGAACUUCAGAAAUAAUUGUUUGAUCCUUCUUCCAAUCAUAGAACACCUUAAUCAAACAUGUUUCAACUUGAAGGAUUAUUUUGCCAUUUUUCCCUUCAUUCUAUUUUCAGUAAGUCAGAAAAAGUUUCUCGUACUCUAUUUCGUUCCUAUAAAAACUGACAUUCAGAAGAAAAGAAGGAAAAUGAAUAGAAAUAAGAAGAUGAUCUGAAAGAUUAAAUGGAAAUUACUGUAAGGUGAUAUUUGAUGACAAAUUGAAAAUUAAAAAUUCCAAUUAUUUGAAAAUUAUAUUUUAAAUGAUUUAAUUUUUUUUCAAUUUGCUAGUUACUCAUUUUAAGGACCACUUAAUAUAAUACUUUCAAUUAAACUGCAGAAAUAUUUAGUAGUUUAAUCCAACUUAUUUCAUUCAGUCAAUAUUAGUUUACUAUUACACUACAUUAUCCCAGUGUGUUAUUAAAGGAUCUUCUAUGCCAUCUUCUAUUUCGUAAAUCUCAUUAAUUGUAAAAUCACUAAACAAUCAUGUAUUACAAUUGCAAAAAACCUAAGAGUGAUUCAAGACAUAAUUUUCCAUAACACAUUUUCACAUUACAAAUUUAAGACUUAAUUGUGUAGAAAUUUGAUUCUCCUACAUUAGUGCAACUUGAUUUUUUAAUUUAUUUUGGGAAUAUUUCUCAUUUAUUCUUCUAAUUUAGUCAACUAUUCUGAUUGUCAAGCUUUUAGGGAUUUGUUUUUAUUUUGGAAUAGAAUAAUUCUCCUUCUUUUAUUAUUUUUUGUUUUCUGUUUCAUGUAAGUUGUUUUCUAAUAAGAAACUUUACUGUUCCUAUUUAUUUAGAUGUACUCCUUCAUUCUAGAGAGAAUAAGAAGAAAUAAGGACAAUUGUUCUUUAAGUUUUCUACAUAGUAUCAGAGUAAGUCAACAAGAACCAUUAAACUGUAGCCACAUGAGUUUUUGUUAUGGCUAGCAAGAGAGAGAACUCUUCUUCUACAGAGGUAUGGCAUAAGGAAAGUCACAAAGAAGUGAUGCUCUAACAAACCCUUCAAAACAAGUCUGCAACCUUUGGAACUAGUUUACUAACACAAAAAGGUAAUUUCCUAAACGCCUUAAGUGUUCAAUUGGGGAAAUAUACAAUCUUGGAUUGUUGAUUCAGAAGCAUCGGAUCACAUGAUUGGAGAUGCAUCCUUAUUCAACACAUAUAGACCUUGCAAUGAUAGUUCUGCUAUAAAAAUUGCUGAUGGCUCUCUCUCAAAUGUGGCAAGAACAGGUUCUAUUGUAGUUUCGAAAUACAUAAUACUUGACUCUAUCCUCCAUGUCCCUAAUUUAGAUUGUAACCUACUUUCCAUCAGUAAGCUUAUGAAAGAUAGAUGUUGUGUCAGUAAAUUUUUUUCUCAACUUGUGUGAAUUUUAGGAAUUGGGCUCAGGGAGGAUUAUUGGCAGUGCUAGGAUGUGUACAGAGCUCAACCUUCUUCAAGAUGAUGCACUUGAGAAACCACAAAACUCUUGUACAGUCUUAGCCUCUAGUACCAAUAAGGAUGACUUUAUCACGUUAUGACAUUAUAGAUUAGGACAUCCAAAUAUUUCAUACCUAAAAUGGCUAUGUCCCUCAUUAUUCAAUAACAUCUCUAAAGAUUUUCAGUGUGAAACUUGUCAACUUUCUAAGCACACUCGAAAUGCCUAUCCUCGCCUUUCCUAUAAAUCAUCCCAACCUUUCUCAAUAUUCACAAUGACAUUUGGGGACCGUCAAGAUUUAAGACUAUCACAAGUUCUAGGUGGUUUGUUACAUUCAUCGAUGAUCAUACUCGACUCACUUGGGUAUUCGUUAUGAAAGAAAAAUUCAAGGUUAGCCAAAUCUUUCAAAACUUCAUCAGCAUGGUACAAACCCAAUUCCAAGCCAAAAUCCAAGUCCUGAAAACAGACAAUGGAAGGGAAUACUUGAACUCUAUUCUCGGCUCUUACCUCACAAAUCAUAGCAUUAUCCAUAAAAGCUCUUGCGUUGACACUCAAUAGCAAAAUGGGGUUGCCAAACGCAAAACCAAAAAAUUUGAUAAAAGUGACCAGAUCCCUCUUGUUGACUUCCAAUGUGCCUAAAUAUUUUUGGGAAAAAGCUGUCCUCACUACAACUUAUUUGGUUAACUGAAUGCCUUCUCGAGUUCUUGGCUUUCAAAUACCGUGUCAAACUCUCCUUGCUUCCUACCCGCAAACUCGAUUGAUCUCUUCCAUUCCCAUCAAACUCUUUGACUGCAUUGCCUUUGUUCAUAUUAGCCAACAAACCGCUGCAAGCUUGAUCCCAAAGCCUUAAAAUGAAUCUUCUUUGGUUGUUCCCCAAACCAAAAGGUCUAUAGGUGUUACUCACCCAUUAUAAAAAAAAUUCUAUAGUUCUAUGGAUGUCACCUUCUUUGAAAAUCUUCCAUACUACAGCGAGAAUGAUAUUCAAGGGGAUAAUACUACUCAUGAAUAUCAAUUCUUAGCUGUUGACUUGUCAAUUUCUCAAGCAGCCCCUUCAAAACCAGAUUCCCAACCAAAUUCUCAACCUACCCAACCUAUUAGCCAUGCAAAUUCCGAAACCCAAUCUGUUCAAACAACUCUUUGACUUUUCAAACCCUAAGGUUAUGCAAGAAAAAACAAAAAAAAAAACUAAUAGUCUACUAAAGGAAGCAAAAACCAUAGGAAGAUGUGGACAACUAUACACAGCCCAGCACUAAAAAUCAACCUGAUCUGAGUCUCCAAGAACCUGAAACUAACACUAGUAAUGUCCCUAUUAAAUCUAAAACUAAAACUUGUGAGCUAGCUGGUGACCUUGACAUGCUUAUUGCAUUAAGAAAAGGCGUCAGAUCAUGCACCCGGUACCCUAUUUGUAAGUACAUCUCAUAUGACAGGUUAAAUCCAAACUUUUGAGUCUUUACUACUAACCUUGACAAUGUGCAAAUUUCAAAAAAUUUUCAAGAAGCCCUCAAUGAACCAGAUUGGAAGGUAGUGGUUCAUGAAGAAAUAAAGGCACUAGAGAAGAAUUGGACAUUGGAAAUUUCAGAUUUGUCCAAAGGAAAGAACCCAGUUGGAUGUAAGUCGAUGUCAAAAUCUAAUCUUCAUUAUUCUUGAUUAGUUGACUUUGUCUAUUUUAGUUAAAUCUCUUAUUUAUAGAAUAAGGAGUGAUUUGAGUAAUUACACCAAAUCCAUUAGAUAUUUUACUAUUAUGUGUAGAGAAUAAAUUACUCCUUUGAUUAAUUGUUUUAAUGCAUGAAAAUCUUUCAUUUUAAGGCUGAGAAUAUUCAAUCUUUAGCUUACAUAUUUUCAUGCAAGUCUAGCAUUGUAAUAAAAUAUAUAUAUAUAUAUAAGAAUAAAAUAGUUUUAUUCAAGAGAUUUCUUAAUGGUAUUAGAGCACAAUAUGAACCUUUGAAAAUUUUCACUCAAACUCCAACAUGAGCAACCGAAAAGAGAGCCUGGACUCGGAGGUUACCUCUAACUUUGGAGCUAGCGUUUCCCAAUCACUGUAGAACAUUAUCACUCCUAUUCGAACAAGUUCUUUAGCCCAAAAAGGUAAUUUUCUAAGUGCCUUAAGUGUAAAAAUAGAGAAAUCAAAUUCAUAGAUUGUGGAUUCAGGAGCUUUAAACCAUAUGAUUGGGGAUGCAUCUUUAUUUAGUAAAUACAACCUAUGUCAUGGAAACAUCACAGUUCAAAUUGCUUAUCAAAAGUAACCAGUACAGGUUUUGUUAUUAUUUCCAAAAAGAUAACACUUGAUUCUGUUUUGUUUGUCCCAAAUCUAAGUUGUAAUCUAUUGUCUAUAAACAAACUUACAAGAGACCUUAAGUGUGCUAAUAAAUUUCUUCCAAAUAUGUGUGAAUUUCAAGAUUUGAACUCAGGGAAGAUGAUUGGCAAUGCUAGGAUGUGUGUACGACUCUAUAUCCUAAGAGCUAGUGAUUCUAAAAGACAAUAUCAAAAGACCUUUUGUGAGGCUUUAUCUUCCAGUAAUAACAAAGAUAGUACUAUAAUGUUGUGGCACUAUCGAUUAGACCAUCCAAAUUUUUUCUACCUCAAAAGGUUGUUUCCCUCAUUAUUCAAUCAAAAUCCUAACAAAUUUCAGUGUGAAGUUUGCCAACUAUCCAAACAUACUCAUACCACAUAUCCUAAUUAGCCUUACAAAUCAUCCCAUCCUUUUUCAAUGAUACAUAAUAACAUUUGGGGUCCCUCCAAAGUAAAUAACGUUACUGGCUCUUGAUGCUUUGUUACAUUUACUGAUGAUCACACCAAGGUUACUUGGGUAUUCCUUAUGAAGGAAAAAUCAGAAGUGGGCCAGCUAUUCCAAAACUUCAACAAUAUGAUCCAAACUCAAUUCAAAACCAAAAUCCAAGUGUUGAGAACCAACAAUGGGAGAGAAUACUACAAUUCAAUUCUUGGAUCAUAUCUAAUUAAGCAUGGUAUAAUUCAUCAAAGCUCAUGUGUCAACACUCCUCAGUAGAAUGGUAUUGUUGAAAGAAAGAAUCGACAUUUGUUGGAAGUUGCAAGAUCCCUCAUGAUGGCUGCCCAUGUACCUAAGCAUUUUUGGGGUGAGGUUCUUCUUACUGCUACAUAUCUUAUAAAUAGAAUGUCUUCUCGAGUCUUUAAAUUUCAAAGCCCUUACCAAUCCUUUCUUAGUUCCUAUCUUCACCUUCAAAUCAUCUUAUCUAUUUCCAUUAAAGUGUUUGGAUGCACUGCAUUUGUUCUUACCAGCCAACAAAACCAAAGCAAAUUAGAUCCCAAAUCCAUCAAAUGCAUAUUUCUUGGAUACUCCCUGAAUCAAAAAGGAUAAAAGUGCUACUCACCAAUAACAAAGAAAUUUUACCAUUCCAUGAAUAUUACCUUUUUUGAAAAUCAACCUUACUUUACCAAAAUUGCCAUUCAAGGGGAGAAUCCAAUCACAUGGGAAUAUCAGCUUUGGGAAGAUCCUAUUAUCGAACCACCAACCACUUCUCAAACUCCCUUUCACGUCCAAAACAUCCAACUAGAUCCUCCCUUUCAAGUCCAAAACAUACAACUGGAUCCUCCAAGCCCAAAGUCCACGUAAGGGAAAACAAACAAAGAGUUGAUUAUCUAUUCAAGAAGACAUAAAACUCAAAAGGAUCUAUUAGAAUGUACUCCUUCAAAGCAAAACCAAGAAUCUGAAUUGAUUCCAAAGAUAUUUGAAUCCAACACAGGUAAAACUCUUACUGAAUCUAAUUCAAUUGAAUCUUUUGAUGAUCUUGAUCAAUCGAUUGCUCUAAGAGAAGGUGUGAGAUCAUGUACUCAACACCCAAUCUGUAAUGUGGUUUCUUAAGAAGGUUUAUCAUCCAGUUAUCGGACUUUUGUUACUACACUAAAUAAUAUGCAGAUUCCCAAUAAUAUUCAUGAAGCACUCAUGCAAGCAAAAUGAAAGAUGGCUAUUUUGGAAGAAAUCAAGGCCCUAGAAAAAAACAAAACAUGGGAGAUUUUAGAACUACCCAAAGGGAAAAUUCCUGUUGGGUGCAAAUGGAUUUUUACUGUCAAGCACAAUGCAGAUGAAAGUAUUAACAGAUUCAAAGCUCGCCUUGUUGCAAAAGGAUUUACUCAAUCUUAUGGUGUUGACUAUGAGGACCAUUUUCUCCAGUUGCUAAACUUUGUUCAAUCCGAGUGUUAAAUCUAAAUUGGCCACUCCACCAACUAGAUAUCAAAACUGCAUUUCUUAAUGGUGACCUAGAAGAAGUUUACAUGGAAAUCCCUCCAGGAUUCAAAAAUUAGGGCAAUUCUGGCAAAGUAUGCAAGCUUCAAAAGUCUUUUCAUGGUCUCAAACAAUCCCCACGUGCAUGAUUUGAUAGACUAACAAAAGUGGUAAAGAAGUAUGCUUUUUCACAAUGCCAGACUACCUCUUGGCAUGGAGGUAGCUUGCUCAAGGAAUGGCAUCUCUGUUUCACAGUGUAAGUAUGUCCUAGACUUACUAAAAGAAACCGAAAUACUUGGAUGCAAACCUCUUGACACCCCUAUAGAUACAAUGAAUAACGUACGAAUGGAAGAAGGAAGUCCAAUAGAUAAGGGCAAAUAUCAAAGACUCAUUGGGAAACUCAUCUACCUUUCUCAUACAAGACCAGAUAUUGGUUUUUUAGUUAGCAUGGUAAGCAGAUUCAUGAACGAUCCAAACGAGGAACACUUGAGGGCUGUGUAUCAAAUCUUACAGUACCUAAAGAAGAGUCCUGGAAAAAAGGUUGUUUUUUAAGAAGACAUCAUGCCAAAAUGUUGAAAUUUACAAUGAUGUUGAUUGGGCUGGAUCCAUUAUUGACCGAAAAUCAACUAUUGGUUAUUGUACCUAUGUGUGGGGAAAUUUAGUUAUUUGGCGAAGCAAGAUGCAAUCUAUGGUGGCUAAAUGUAGCACGGAAGCUGAGUUUAGAGCUAUGUCUCAUGGUAUAUGUGAGGGAAUUUGGCUAAAAAGAUUGCUAGGGGAGUUAAAGGUCUUUGUAAAAGAAUCCAUGAAGAUAUUCUAUGACAAAAAAGCUAUCAUAAGCAUAGCAAAAAAUCUUGUUCAUCAUGAUAAGACAAAACAUGUGGAGAGUAAUCGUCACUUCAUCAAAAAAAAGAUAAGAGGAAAGAAUUGUUAGAUUAGUUUAUACUUCCACAUGCCUCCAAACUAUAGACAUACUCACUAAGGCUCUCUCUCAUAACAAUUUCGAGAAUCUGAAGUCCAAGCUAGACAUGAUUGACAUCUACCACCCAGCUUGAGGGGAAGUGUGAAAAUCUAAUCUUCAUUAUUACUUGAUUAGUUGACUUUGUCUAUUUUAGUUAAGUCUCUUAUUUUUAGAAUAACGAGUGAUUUGGGUAAUUAUACUAAAUCCAUUAGAUAUUUUCUUAUUAUGUGUAGAGAGUAAAUUACUCCUUUGAUUAGCUAUUUUAAUGCAUAAAAAUCUUGGGUUUUAAGGGUGAGAAUAUUCAGUCUUUAGCCUAUAUCUUUUCAUGCAAUUCUAGCAUUGUAAUAUAAAAAUAUAUAUAAAAGAAUAAAAUAGUUUUAUUCUUGACAUUUCUUCAAUGGAUCUUCACAAUAAAGCAUAAUGUAGAAGGAAGUAUAAACAAGUUCAAAGCUAAACUUCUUGCAAAUGGGUUCACUCAAUCCUAUGGGAUAGAUAAUGAGGAGACAUUUGCUCUGGUAGCCAAACUCAAUUUAAUUAGAAUUCUAUUGUCACUAGCAACCAACUUGGAUUAGCCUCUCCACCAACUUGACAUCAAGAAUGCAUUCUUAAAAGGUGACUUGGAGGAGGAUGUCUACAUGGAAAUUCCUUCUGGUUUUGAAAGGCAAGACAACAUGGGCAAAAUGUGCAAACUUCGAAAAUCUUUGUAUGGACUUAAAUAGACUCCUUGAGCUUGGUUUGAAUGGUUGACCAAGGCAAUAAAGAGGUAUGGAUUCCUUCAAUGUCAAUCUGACCAUACUUUGUUAAGUUCACUAAUGUAGGAAAAAGAGUUAUUGUUUAUGUUGAUGACAUCAUAAUCACCGAAGACCAUAAGGAAGAAAUAGAUGAUUUGAAGAAACUCCUUGUAGAAGAGUUUGAAAUAAAGGACUUGGGGUUCCUUAAAUAUUUCCUUGGGACAAAAGUGGCUUGCUCUAAAUAUGGAAUAUUAGUGUCUCAGCGUAAGUAUGUACUUGAUUUACUCAAAGAAACAGGCAUGAUUGGAUGCAAACCUGCCAAUACACCCAUGGACUCAACUAAUAAAAUUGGAACUAAAAAUGGAAGCUCUCUCAUGGACAAAGGGCGAUACCAAAAACUAGUUGGGAAGCUUAUUCACCUCUCCCACACAUGACCUGAUAUCAAGUUUGCGGUAGGGAUGGUGAGUAGAUACAUGAAUAAUCCAACCAAAGAGUAUCUCAAAGCUAUUCAUUGCAUCCUACAGUACUUAAAAAGAGUCCUAGUGAAGGUUUAAUGGAUAAGGUAGUCGAGGUGUACACAGACGCUGACUAGGCAGGAUCAAUAACAGAUAGAAGGUCCACUACUGGAUAUUGCACUUAUGUUUGGGACAAUUUGGUCACUUGGAGAAGUAAAAGGCAAGCUUUUGUAGCUAGGAGUAGUGCUGAGGCUAAGUUUAGAGCAAUGUCCCAUGGUAUUUAUGAAGGAAUUUGGCUGAUGAGGUUACUUGGAGAAUUAAAAGUUCAGACUGUGACAUCUUUGACAUUGUUUUGUGAUAAUAAGGCUACUAUAAAUAUUACAAAAAAUCCUAUUUAUCAUGAUAGGACCAAGCACAUAGAGCUAGACCGACAUUUCAUAAAGGAAAAGAUAAAAAAUGGGUCGGUCGAACUGGCCUAUAUACCUACAAGUUCACAAAUUGCAAAUAUUCUUACUAAAACUCUUCCUAGAAGCAUUUUUGACGGAUUGAAAUCCAAGCUAAGUAUGACUAACAUUCAUAACCUAGCUUGAGAGGGAGUGUAGAAAUCUGAUUCUCCUACAUUGGUGAAGCAUGAUUUCCUAAUUUAUUUUGGGAAUAUUUCUCAUUUAUUCUUCUGAUUUAGUUAACUAUUUCGAUUGUCAAGUUUUUAGGGAUUUGUUUCUAUUUUAGAAUAGAAUAAUUCUCCUUCCUUUUAUUAUUUUUUGUUUUUUGUUUCAUGCAAGUUGUUUCCUAAUAAGGAACUUCACUGUUCCUAUUUAUUUAAAUGUACUCCUUCAUUCUAGAGAGAAUAAAAAGAAAUAAGGACAAUUGUUCUUUAAGUUUUCUAUAAAUUGUUUAAUAUUUGUAUUUUUUCAAUUUAUCGAAUAACACUUAACUAAAAGUCAUUUUUAUAGAACUUGAAGAUCAAGAAAGAAUGAACCUCUAAUCGAAACUCAUCCUUCUAGGAGUGUAAGGAAGUCAAGUCUACUCAUGAAUUAUUUGGGUUCAACUCAAAAAUUACUCAGAGUUCAAUGUACUUACUAGGCUCAACUGGCUUAUGAAUGUAAUUGAGCUUUUAGUUUUGCAAUAAGUUACACAAUCUCUCUCUCUCUCUCUCUCUCUCUCUCUCUCUCUCUCUCAAGUAUACGACCUUGAUUUUAUCUACAAUGAUAAUCAAGGCUAAUUGAAUAGCUCAACUUACUUUUAGAAUCAAGAUCAAAUUUGAAGAAUAACACUAAAUGAAACUUGAGCCACAAUUAAGGUUUUGAGUAGAGUUCAAGCAUGUAAACUCCGGUGACUCAACUUGGAUAGAUUCUACCACAAGUCCCAACUAACAGACAUAUGACAAGCUUACUAACAAUGAAUGCUACAACUUUGUGAAACUUUACAUUAACUCAAUGACAACAUAGAAACAAAAGAACUGACCUUCACAAUAUGGUGUGCUUCUCUUCCUUGUCCUUUGGAAAUGACCUAUAUAUAAGGCAAAGGGAAUGAAUAACAGAUGAUGAGCAAAUCAGAUGGCCUUGCGGUUUAUUUCUUUUCCCCUUUUUAGGGGUUCCAAGAGACAAGUGAAAUUUUAAAAUUAUAUGGAAACAACAAUGUGUAAACAAAUACAUAUAUUUAUGCAUAUAGGUUGGUCUAUAGUAUCCUUCUUAGAAAUGGGAUUCAUUCAAAUAAUAAAAAAGUUUAAAAAGCAAAAACAAAAAUUUUAGACAUAAAAGCAGACAAAAAAGAAACCAAUUCUAAAUUGAAUGGAGAGGAAGAGGGAAGAGCAGAAAAGUUCAGAAGCUGAGUAUCUGAAUAAAAAGAAGAGCAUCAAAAUUAUAAACCUUAGCAAAGUGUCAGAAAAGGAAAACCAUAAUCCUAACCAAGAAAAAAAUUGAUGAAUUACAUUGUAAACUUACUUUGAAAUUUAAUCAAACAGGUAAUGGGGAUAACAGAUUUCGGCUUCAGUUGUGAAGGAAAACUUAAAAAAAAAAAAAAAAAAAAAUCACCUCAUAUGUGGCAAAGGAGCAACCUCGGAAUAUCAUUUGCGUGGAAUGUCCCAAAAUCUAUAAAUAAUAAUAAUUAUUAUUAUUAUUAUAUAAAAAGGAAAAAUAUAAGUGACUUAUUUACAUGGAAAAAAGAGAAAGGAAAGUGUACAUUUCGCACUGCAAUUCGCAGCAUCAUUAUGGUGAUCUUUCAGGUGCGAUCAGGACGAGACGAGACGAGACGAGACGAUGCAACAGGCAGAGAGAGAGAGAGAGAGAGAAAGAGAGAGAGCUGCUGAAACCAAAAUAAAUAUAAUAUAACUAAUAAUAUUAGUAAAGGGAACGCAGCUCGUGCCGGAAAGACAUACGAGAGAAUGUCCUUUUGCCGCAGCCGCGAACCUGCGAAUCAAGCUACAAGCUUUAGGCUAGUAAAAAUGUCCUAUAUUAUUACUUUUUAUUAAUAAAAUAAAAUGCUCGAGAUGGAUGCGACUAAGCCCACCAAGAAUAGGACGGGCAUGUGGUGGACUCUUGGAAAAAUAGAUAUUUGGAUUGGAUAACUUCACUUGGGUUUAAAUUAUUUUUUAUUAAUAGUUAAUGAUUUCAAUUUAUUUGUCAUGUAUUUUGACUUUUGAGAAUCCAUAUUUUCUUUUUUAAUAUAAAAAAAAAAAAGGCGCUUUUGUUUAUAGGUACUGUGUGUCUUGAAAUACUCUAAGCAAUUAAAGAUAUGGAUGGAUCCGGUUGUCACUUGGUCGAUAAUUUCUUGAUAGGCCUCAAGUGCCUGCCUUCUCGUGCCAUUACCUCUUUAUUCUACUGUAUCUUUUAUUAAGACAAGAAAGUAAAAAUAAAUAAAUAAAUAAAAUUUAAUCUGUGUUAUACCAAAUCAUUUAGUCUACUGGAUCUUAAAAGAGCUCUGCUCCUACAUGACAACGUCAGGUCUGGUAACUAUGAUAAAUGCCUCCCUUACUUCCUGUAUCAUCCAAUUUUUAAGAUAAAUGCCACACAGAUGCAAGAAACUUCAGCAAACUAUAUGGCAGAUCACUGGCUAAGAGUCAAUCCUGGUGCUGAGUGAAAAACGCUUUCCAAUUGCAAGAGCAGUACUUUAGCACAUAGUAGUAAUACAUUCAAACACUAACGAAUUUAAAAAGCAACAAGCAAGCAUGCCAAACAAGGUAAUAUAUAUAUAUAUAUAUGGCAAUAACAUGCAAGUGAUGGACACCUAAUAUUUACAAGAAAUACAGGAAAAAGAAAACUCAAACUUUCUAAUUACAUGUAAAAUUGAAAUAUAAUAGUAAAUCAAAGUAUGUAUUCCAUUGAGUAUGCAAUGGUCUGCACUUGUCCAAGCGUCAAAGCAAGGAUUUUGAAGAAGCUAACAAUUUUUGGCAUUUCAAUUUGUGCAAGGCCUAUUAGCAACCGCAGCAAAAGAUAGAAUCACUACUACAAUGAUUUUGGAUCAUCCAAACAAGAUGAAAGUUCGCUUUGAAAAUAAAAAGUGGCAUGGUACCAAUCUUAGUUUAAGUGACACAAAGGCUACCAUCUUUUAGGAGAAGUUUACUGCUUUGCUGGUAGUGACCUGAGGGCUCUCACUAAACUACCUAUUGCUAGUUCACACUUCAUUGUGCUUCCCAGCCGCUGAGUAGCAACAUCUAAUAAAAGAUUAAUGAUUGAUAACACAACACAAAAAAAAAAAUGCAAAAGCUGGGUUGAGCAUAUGUUUAGCGUACUAACAGCAUACAACUACAUGGGGUUUUGUUCUGAUAAUACCAAAGAAAAAUUAAACUAAAUCUAAACUCAAGCAGCGACAACCUCAAGGAUGUGGACACUAGCACAUACAUAUAAAGAGAAAAACUGACCACACAUCAGACAACGACAGUCUUUAAAAUCCCUUUGCUCCUGUUUGUAAACAGUCACCUUUCAGUCAAGGAACAAUUAAGAUUUCUUUUUCUUCUUCUAAUAUAUUAAGAAUCCACAAGAAUCCACUGAGAACGUAUGUUGAGUCCCAACAUAUCAAAUAUCGAAAUCACAACCAGAGCAAACAGGAAAGAGAAGACCAAAGUACCAAAUUUCCCACACCGCAAACAGCCUCCUGCUCCCCCUUUGGCUCUUGAAGGCAGUGGGUCAGUUUUAGAGACAGAGAGAAAGAGAUGAUGCUUAUCUCUUCAUCUUUCUAAUCAAUAUAGUUUAGGUCCGGCUAGAAACCAUCAUAACGAUGGCUGUCCGAUGGCCAGGGUAAUUAGACAAGUGGUUUGGCUUAUUUCUUUUUCCAUUCAGACAACAUGAAACAAAAAGUUUCUAUUUCCAGUAAUUCUCUCAGUACAGUCUCUCUCUCUUUCUGUCAAGUUCCUCCACCAUUCCAUGAUAUUAUCAGUUCACCUUCAUAGGCUGAGAAAUUAAUGGGACCUCAAGACAUGUGAUGGCUAUAGAUUCUCAUAAAAUAUAAAUCCAUGGAGCUAUAGUUAGAUAUAAAUUUUAGGAGUCAUCACUUUAAUCACCUAAUUGAAUCUUACUUAUUUAAAAAAAAAAUCUAAAACUUAAUUUAGGUAUCUUUAAAUAAUAAAUUUUAAUUUAUAAAAUUAAAUUUUUUAUUUGAAAGUAUGAUUUCAUGUGAAAAAAAUUAUAGCAUUCUCACAGCAUUCAUUCAAAUGAUACCAGUUUGAUUUUAAGUUAUCCAUGUCUUAAAAUAUUUUUUAUAAUUAUUGAAUAAUUUAAUUAUAAGAAAUUGAUCCUAAAAUUAUUCCAAUAGUUUGAUAAUAAUUUAAGAUAAUUUUUUCACUUUAAGAGUAUUCAUGAAAACUAGUGUCUCACUCUAAAGAAACUCCGUCAUCGGAUUCAUUUAAAUUUUAUUUAAAGAAAUAAUUAGUAAAAUCUUCCAAUAGUUUACUAAAAUUUACUUUGAUGUAGAUCUUCCAAUACUUUGAUGAAAUUUUGUUUUAAAAUUAUGUAUGAAAUUUAUUUUAAGAAAAUUCAUUAACCCCUCUAAUAUUUUAGCAAGAUUUAAUUCAAGAUUUUGAUCCUCCAAUAGUUUAAUAGAAUUAAAAAUUUUAUUAAUAUGUUUUACAUAAAAUUCAUUAAGUUCUCCAAUAUUUUGUUAAGACUUAAUUCAAGAUUUUAAUCCUUUAAUAGUUUGAUAGGAUUAAAAAUUUUAUUAUUAUUAAAAAAAAUUAUAUUAUGAAAUUCUCCAAUAGCUUGGUAGAAUUCAUAGUUUAAAUUUUUUAAACCCAUGAAAUAAAAAUUCAUAAUUUAAAACUCAUAAUCUUUAAAUUUUAUUUUAAACAUAAAUAAAAAAAAGUGAAAUAAAUGAAUAAAUAUAUAAAUAAACAAAAUGUGAAAAUUACCUUAAUAGAUGGAGACACGCCUAGGUGGAAGUAUCCUUUGAUCUGUAGUGACAGAUAGUCACCAAUUCCAACUAAAGAGCUCUGCCACCAAUUUUAACUAAAGAGCUUGAGUAUAGAUAUUGCUACUCAUCCAUUUCAUUGUGGGUUUCCCUUUUUUUCUUUUGUGUACGGUUGAUUGUGUUUUAUGUAGGGCAUUUUGUUAGAAAUUUUAUGGAUUUGCAUUAAAUGAAAAAGGAUUACAGAUUUGAUUAUGCUCUGAAUUGAUUUUUUUUUCUUGAUUCUUUUUAAAAUUGAUUUAAUUAAUUUUUGAAAUUAUCUCGAUUUUCCUUGAUUUUUAAAAUCUCUCAAAAUUUCCCAAAUUAAAUCUAACUUUGAUUUCUUUUCAACCUCCAUUUAAUAUUUGAAGAUAUCAUAUUUUAGUUUUAAUUGCUGAGAUUAUCCUUAAUUAUUACUCAAAUUAGUCCAUAUAUUUUAUUGACAUGAUUUAUGAUAAAAAUUUAAAAUCAGAUAAAUACAAAAAAACUAUAAGAUAAAUAAAUAAGAUAGAUAAAUAUAAAAAAAUGUAAGAAAUUGGACAAUUGGGCUUAGAUUAGAUAUGGGCCCAAUUGGUUUAAGCCUUGGACUAAAUAAAAUGUCUACAACUAACCUUUUUAGCAUAGUUUUUGUAAAACAAGAAUUGCACAAAAAAUAUAGAUAUCCAUUACAUUCGAGCCCAAAUUAUUCAACUUUUUUCUUUUUUCUUUUUUUUUUUAAAAGCUUUUCGAAAAUGAAGACACACAACUUUUUAAAAAAUUAAGGACAACACCUAAAGAUUUUGAUAAUCAUGCCCGAAAGUCUUAUAGAUCAUGUCCAAAGAAUUUGAAGAUUAAGCCUGGAGACUUUACAAAUCAUUUAUUAAAAACUGCUCAUUUAAACAAAGGCUACACAACUUUAAAAAAAAAAUGGUACCUAAAAGUUUUAAAAAAUCAUAUCAUGUCCGAAGGACUUGAAGACUAUACCAGGAGGUAUUAGAGAUUAUGCUUGGAGGUCUUACAAAUCUUGAUUCUAAAAUAGAUUCAGUUUAAAAAACUUACGAAUCUUGCCCUGAAAAUUUAGAGAUUACGACCAAAUGUCUUACAAAUCUCAACUCUAAAAAAAAUUAGCUUAAAAGACUUACAAAUUUUGUUCGAAAGACUUAAUGAUCACCUUCAAAUGUUUUCGAGAAAAAAAAUCCUCUAAAAUAGAGGCAUUCACAAUUUUAAAAUUUGAAAAAUGUUCUCCUCACCUAUUUUGUUCGAGUCCAGAAAAACUGAAAAUUUUUAACUUGGAAUCCAAAGAUUCACAAUUUGAAAAUUCAAAAGUUCAUCACAAAACUUCAAAAAUUCACCAGACUUUCAGAUUCACAAGAAUGGAAUAUUCACAAGAUUUUAAGAUUUGUAAAAAUUUCAAAUUCGCUAGAGUUUCAAAUUUGCAAGAUUUUCAUAUUUGCAAGAACUUCAAGUCUGUGAAAGUUCAAAGAUUAACAAGACUUUCAGAUUCGUAAAAAUUUCAAAUUCAUAAGAACUUCAGAUUCGUAAAAGUUUUAGAUUCGCAAGUGAUUUAUAUUCACAAAAACUUCAUAUUCGUAAGAUUUCAGGUUUGCAAGAAUUUUAGAUUUGCAAGAACUUUGAAUUUACAAGAACUUCAUGUUUGUAAGAGUUUCUAUUUCGCAAGAAUUUUCAUCAUUGUAAAGAUUCACAAAUUGUAAUUCACAGACAAUAUUCAAAUAUUCGAAUUCAAAAGAUUUAAAGUUUCAUAUAAAAAAAAUUCAUGAAUUCACAUAAAAAAUUUAAAGGUUCACCUCUAGAAUUAAAAAAUUUUCAUUCAAAAAUUUUAAAGAUUCACACUCAAAAGUUAAAAAUUUCCAUUCGAAAAAUUUAAGGAUUCAUAGCCAAAAUUUAUAUUUGAAAAAUUUUAAAGAUUCACAUUCAAAACUUAAAGAUUUUUAUUUUAAAAACUUAGAGAUUCACAUCGAAAAUUUUUAAAAUUCACAUUUAAAAAUUUUAACAUUUCACAACCAAAAUUUCAAAGAUUCUUAUCCGAAAAAUUUCAGGGUUUCAUUUCCAAAAUUUUAAAUAUUCACAUUUGAAAAAUUUUUUAAAUUCCGAUCCAAAAUUUCAAAGAUUCAUUUUCAUAAAUUUUUAGAGAUUCACAUCUAAAGUUUCAAAGACUCACAUUCAAAAAUUUAAAGAUUCACAUUCAAAGUUUCAAAUAUUCACAUUCAAAAAAUUAGAUAUUCAUAUUCAAAGUUUCAAAGGUUCUUUUUCAAAAUUUUAUAACUUCAUGUCCAAUGAUUCUCAUUUGAAAAAAUUUUAGGCUUCACAUUCAAAAUUUUAAAGAUUCUCAUUCGAAAGGCUCAUUUAAACAAGGGCUCUAUAACAUUAAAAGUUUGGACAAUUUUGCUUGUCAAAAUAAAAUUUCAUAAUGCAAGAUCUUCCUCAUUCAAGAAUUCAAAAGUUAAUCAUUUUCUCCCAACAAAGUCAAAAUUUUUUAUACAAUAAAUGCCAUGAUAUAAUGCCUUCUAAAUGAUACAAAUGCAUGUCCUAAACAACAAUACAGAUGCCAUAACAUGAUUCAAAUAUUUACUACAUGAAAUGCCCCAACAAUGAUGUAAAUGCAAUUUCAAACAAUGAUUUAGAUACUUACCAAAUAACACAAAUGCAUGGUAGAAACAAACAAUGAUACAAAUGUAAUAUUCAAAACAAUGGAUUAAAUAUUCACCAAAUAAUGCAGAUGCAUAGUCCAAUCAAUUAUGCAACUUACAAAUUCUCCAAAUGAUCUAAACCAUUAUGCAGAUGCAAUUAUCAAAGUAAAAACUUAUACAUUUACCAAAUAGUGUAAAAACAAUUAUCAAAACAAAGUAUUUUUGUUGCCCAUUUGAAAAUCAUUUUUUUCCUAUCUAUCAAAAUUCAUAACACUUUAAAUUUCAAAAUUUUCAAAAACUCCCAAAAGAAUGGCAAUCAAUUGCCCCUAAAAAUGCCCUACAUAUAAUUUUUCCAAGAUCAAAAUGUAUCAAUAUAUGACAUUUAAAUCUCUUGAAAAUCGAUGUUACUGCUCAAAAUAAAUUAGUUGAAUCUUGGUUUUUCCAAAAAGAUGAAAUGGCUUGGCAUAUUAAGAUUUCAAUUAUUAAAAAAUACUUUGUCAUUGAAUAAAAAAAAGAAAAUCAAUAUUUAUUCAUCUAAGCUCACCAAUGAAAGUUUAAAUUUAAGAAAUAAUUCUUUUUAAAGAACAAUUCAUUUUGGGCACUCCCUUAGGUUCUUGAUAUGGGACAUUUUAACAAAUAUCAAGACUAACUAUGAUAGGCUCAAAAUUUUUAAAAAGGAAAGAAAAUGUUCAAAUUUUAAAACAAAUCUUCAGAUUAGGAUUUAUCUUCUUGAAUUUCUCAAAGAUCUUCAUUGUUCAUGGGUUCCUUCAAAAUCACCUUCUCUAAUGAACUUGUUUGAGUAGCUUUCAAACUUGCUCUAGACUGUCUUUUCAAGUUUUCACCCUAAAGCUUCAUUCAAUCUUUUUUUUUUCUUUUUUCCCUUUAUUUUCUUUUUUUUCUAUUCCAGCAUACAUUUGAAAACUCACAAUUGAUCCAAAAUUAAAAAAUGAUGGUGAUUUCCUAAAGAAAAACUCUUCAAUUUAGAUAUCCACACUUGAAUAAAAUUGACUUUUUAAAAGAUAUAAUUUGAACUGGGGUUUAGGGUUUUAAAAGAAAAUGAUAAAUAGGCCUAAAAAUGUGUUUAAAGGUAAUCAAACCAAUGAUCAAUUUUCUUUUCAAAGACAUUUGCCUUUUCUAUUUCUCAGAACAUACAUUUUCAUUUUUUUUCUUACAUUUUUUUUUUUUGUUUUUUUUUUUCAUUUUUCCACAUCUUAACAAAUUACCAAAAAUUUUGAAGCUUGUCUUUUGACUGUAAGAAUUCAUUUUUUAUCCUUAACUUUGGAUUUAAUGCUUUCUCAAAAAACCCACUUUUAUAUCUGCCUCUAGUGUGAAAAGUGAUCCAUGGUUGGGGUUUCUUAAAAAAAAAAUUUAAUAGACUCAAAAGAGAUAACAAACAAAUAUUUUCUUUUUGUAAAAAGAAUAUAAAAUAUGGCAAUUUAUCAAAUCAAAUAUGGAUACCUAUAUUAAAAAGAAAUUUUUAAGAAUAGAUUUUUCUUUUAUUUUAAAAUUCUUUAAAUAUUUCAUAUGCAAUUUUUAUUUAUUUAUUUAUUUAUUGCAACUCAAGCUCAUUGUAUCAUCUUAUUACAUCAAAUGAAAUCCCAAUAUAACAAUCUUCAUUUUCAUAACCCAUACCAAAAGAUGAAAUUGAUGCCAUCUAGAAGAAAAAAUAUUGGAAAAAUUGAAUAAUUUGGGCAUUUUGAUAAAUUUGUCCCAAUAUGUGUGCAAAGAAAAAUUUUAGGGCAAUAAAAGAAAGAGAAAAGGAAUGUUGCAUAAAUCAACAUGUCAAACAAAGAUAUUAAGGGGAUAUGAUUUUUUCAGUAAUUCUACCCUAAAAAAGAAAUUGGAGAAGUUUAGGCUUAGUGAAAAAACAUAGGUAAUGGUGUGUUUGAAAUAGUCUUGAAACUUAUCAAAUUGUUAAAAUCUAAAAUCUUCAAGAAAAAGCCGCAUGUAUUGGCUUACAAAAAAUUUUUCAAACAAGAUUUUUGAAACUUCAUUACUCAUAGCCUUAAUAACGAUCAUUGACUUGGAAAUACUUCUUUGUUCAGUGAAAAUUAGGAUCAUAAAACUUGAAAAGUCAAGCUUUGAGUGGUGUGGUGUUCAACUAAAUUAGAGUAUAAAAUGGUAAGUGAAACAAUUGUGUAUGUUCAUUCUUGUUAGCAAUCAUCAAUUCUUUUAAUAUUGUUUCCACAAAAAAAUUUCUUUACAAAGAACAUUUUCCAAUCAUGGAAAGAAAUCAUGUGGGUUUUUAUUGUCAAAUAACUCAAAUGGAUGAAAAAAAUAUAUAAAUAUAUACAGAUACAUGCAUGUAAAUCAUAAUGAAAAAUAGGAAUUCAUAUUUACGUAUCAAAAUUUACCCUAAACAAAUGAAAUAAUGUACAUACAAAAAUGUAUAUACGAAUCCAUGUAUGCAAUAUAUAAUAACAAUAAAAAUUCAUAUUCAAAACUAUGUACAAAAUUGGAAAGGCAAAGAUAUUUCCAAACAAAUGAAAUAACAUACAUACAAAGAUGUUUACAUAGAUUUAUAUGCAAAUACAUGUAUACAAUACAUAAAUGAAAACAAAAAUUCAUACCCAAAACUAUGUACAAAAUUAAAAAGACAAAAAUUUUCCCAAACAAAUGAAAUAACAAACAUACAAAAAUGUUUACAUGCAUGUAUGCAAUACAUAGUAAAAAUUCAUAUUCACAACUAAAAAAAUAAUUACUCUUUAAUUUACAAUUAAGCGUUCACAUCUUUUAAUAUAUGAAAAAGUAAAAUGGAAUAAUGCAUAAAUGAAUGCAUAUAUGCAUGAAUGCAAUAAGAAGGAUUUAAUGAUGUGAAUACAUAUAUAUAUACAAUAAAAAAAAAAGUUAAUAAACAUGAUAUAUACAAAUAACAACAUAAUAUAUAAAGAACAACAUAAAGGGUUUGUAUACAAAUAAUAUAUACAAAGAAUAAUAUAUAAAUUUACAAGCAAAAUAAAUGUUUCAUCAUGUAUCUAUUUAGGAUUUUCUAACAGAAGGGAAAGCAUGGCUCUAACUUGGGUUCGGACCUUUAGGGUUUAUUUACAUGCUAGGUUCAAAAGUUUGAUAGUCUAGAGGUUCCUAAAAUAUUUCCUACAUCAUUAUCCAUUAUAGAUUAAUAAUGUAUUUUAAUCUUCAGCCACCACAGGCUACAGGUGAAAAAUGUUUAACUUCAAUAGGAGUAUUUUGCUAACCCAUGUAGAGAUAUAAAAUCUCAUAAAAGCGUAAGUACUUUACUCCCUUAUAAGGGACGAAGCUAUAGUGUAGAGCUCAUGUUAUCUUAUACAUAUGUAAAUGAAUGACAUAUAUGAAAAAAAUAAUAAACAAAUAAAUAAAACAUAAACAAAAAGAGAAAAAAAUUUUCAAAUUUAUUAAGUUAUGCUUGGAUAACAUGAAAUUAUUUGUGGGCCUGACUCUCAAAGUCUCUAGUGGAGGUGCCAAACUAUCAUAAUGUAUAAAUUCAUAGACCUAUCACUAAACAUAAAUUUUAAGAGUUGCCUUCAAUCUUUUUUAUUUAGGUAUGAUUGGCUAUCUAACUGAAUCUGUCACAUUCUAUCUAACUAAAUCUGUCACAUUUUAAAGAGAAAUCCUAAGCUUGACUUAAGUAUCUUUAAAUAGUAUAUUCUAGGCUACAAAGCCAGAUUUUAGGUUCGAGAGUAUGGUUAACCGCGAGAAAGGUUAUAGCACCCUUACAUCAUCUAUCAAAGAAUGGUACUAGUUUGAUUUCAAGCUAUCCAAGCUUUAAAAUAUUUUUAUAAUUUGUCAAAUAAUUUAAUUAUCAUAAAUUGAUCCUAAAAUUAAUCCAAUAGUUUGGUAGUGAUUUAAGAUAAUUUGUUUACUUAAGAAAUAUUCAUAAAGAUUAGUGUCUCACUUUGAAGAGGCUCUGUCAUCGUAUUCAUUUAAAUUUAAUGUAAGGAAAUAAUCAAUAAAAUCUUUCAAUAAUUUGGUAAAAUUACUUUGAUGUAGAUCUCCUAAUAGUUUGAUAGGAUUGAAAAUUUUAUUAAUAUUUUUUACAAAAAAUUCAUUAAGUCAUCUAAUAUUUUGUUAAAACUUAAUUCAAGAUUUAACUCAUUCAAUAAUUUGAUAGGAUUAAAAAUUUUAUUAUUAUUAUUAUUUUUAAAAAAUUCUUUAAGUCCUAUAAUAAUUUGGUAAUACUUAAUUCAAGAUUUAAAUCCUCCAAUAAUAUAGUAAUACUGAAAAUUUUGUUAUUAUUAAAAAAAAUUAUAUUAUGAAAUUCUCCAAUGGUUUAGUAGAAUUCAUAAAAUUUCUAAACCUAUGAAAUAAAAAAUUCAUAAUUUAAAAUUGACAAUCUUUAAAUUUUAUUUUAAGCAUACAUAAAAAAAGUUAAAUAAAUGAAUAAAUAUAUAAAUAAACAAAAUUUGAAAAUUACUUUAUGAUGAAGAGAUGCCUAGGUGAAAGUAUCCCUUGAUUUGUAAUGACAAAUAGUCAUAUAUUCCAACCAAAGAGCUUUGUCACCAAUUCUAACCAAAGAGCUUGAAUAUAAAUUGCUACUCAUCCAUUUCCUAAUGGAUUUCUUUUUUUUUUUUUUUCUUUUAUGUGUGGUUAAUUGAUGUUUAUAAAAAGCCUUUUAUCGAAAAUUUUAAAGAUUUACAUUAAAUGGAAAGAAUUGUAAAUUUGACUAUGCUCUGAAUUUAUUUUUUUCUUAAUUCUCUUUAAAACCAGUUUAAUUAAUUUUUGAAAUUUUUUUGAUUUUCCUUAAUUUUUAAAAUCCUUCAAAAUUUUCCUAAUUAAGUUGAUUUUGAUUCCUUGCUUUGAUUUUUUUUUCAACAUUCCUUUAAUAUUUGAAGAGAUUAUGUUUUAGUCUUAAUUGCUGAAAUCAUCCUUGAUUAAUGUUCAAAUUACUCCAUAAAUUUUAUUAACAUGAUUUAUGAUAAAAAUUUAAAAUCAGAUAAAUAAAAGACUAAAUGAUAAAUAAAUACAACAAACAAAAUAUAAAAAAAAUAUAAUCCGAUUAAUUUCACCCAAACUAAAUAGGUGUCUACAUAGAUAAUGCAUAUAUAUUUGCAAAGCUCAAACAUAAACAUCUUUUAACAUCAAUUCCCACAAACCCCAUCAUUUCUAUAAAUUCCAAUUAUCAUCAUCACUCUGAUUUAAAAAAUCUAAUCCAACCAUACUAUGAUUCUCAAUAAACUGACAAGUUGAAAUGGAGUUAACUAAACAAUGCACACACUUUGAGAGGCAGCAAGGAAGCUAAUGGACUGAAACAGAAAAAUUAAAAGCAAAUUAAUCUAAAAAAAUCAACCAAGAUAAGCCCAGUAUUCAGUAAGUUUCAUUUGACUGCCAUUGCUUUCAUCUAAUACCAACUACAUCAAUAAGAUAAAGCGAAACAGAGUAAGAGUGUCAAACCUAUAUAGAAUACAAAGAAGCCUCCAAAAGUCUAAACUUACUAUUCAGUUAUCAGAACACAUAAUAACCUUUUACUGGGACAAUCCAAUGUAGAAGUAGUCCACAUAUAAACAACAAGCAAACUUGGAGGCACCUUCAUCAGUUUCAUUUUUACAGUCUCAAAACUGCUUAGAUACACAGAUAUUUAUAUGUUUUACAAAAAUGUAAAUUCUUUCAUAUAAUAGUACCAUUAAUUAUUGAAAGGAAAUGGAAAAAUUAGAUUUAAAAAUUUCUUAUUGCAAUAUUUUUUUCAUUCUUAACAAUCAAAGAUAAGAUGCUAAAAGCCAAAAACAGUAUAGUAGCAUUGUAUGACUUCACCAUGAUCAAGAUACAUAAACUGUUUGAAUAUUCAUAAAAUAACAUAGACCAUCAAAAGACAAAGAACACCCAAAAUCUAAAGCUAAAUCCAAUGCCACAUGACAAAAGAAAAUGAUGAUUGCUAAUCUGCAAGAACAAGAAGCCAUAAAAUUCCACUUAAAACUUAGUUUACUCGGUGGUGUUGAAUAAGACAAAUUAUUGUGCUUCUAGAGUUUUCUUCUUCUUCUUAUCCCUAACCUUGAUGUCAAUGGCGCUUAACUUUUUUACUGCAGUCUUGUUUUUCUUGUUGGAGACAUUGUCACUAUUGAUUUCACUUUUUCUGUUAGCCCCAGAGUUAAUGUCAUUACUAUUUUCAUCCAUGUACUGAACUUGGUGUAUCCUCCCCUUGUUUUUCUUCUUCUUCUGAUGAGAAGCAUCUUCUUCUUCUUCUUCUUCUGCUUGUUUUUCCUCCAAGAGAUCUUUAGAAGAAGGGUGAUCAGCUUCAGCCAGAAUCUUCAAACGCAGAUCAGGCACAGUCUGAUAAAGAGGGAGGGCCAAGCUGUCAAGCAACUUUAAAUGGAACGACCUGAUAUUGCCCCACUUGCUCGGUACAAUCUCUGCAAUCCCGUUAAUAGCAGCUAUCACAUUUUCAACAAUCACUUUUUUUCCCAUGGAAAGUUUCCCCACCUUCACCACGCUGCAAGUUCCACUACUCAAGAACAGCAUAGCAGAGGCACAAGCCUUGUGAAUCUGCUCCUUCCAGUUGUUGUGCUUGAGGUCCACAGGCACUGGAAUCUUCUUCUUUUUGAAAAACUGCUUCCCCAAUAGCCGAGGGAGAAGCGGGAUAAUCCUCUUAUCCGCGAAAAACAUGUCAUAGGUAUCGCAGAGCUUUCUUUUGGCCUCGAAGGGCCGAUAAUCAGUCUUGAGCUUGGAAAGCUUGACCACCUUGCUGAUGGGUAUGUUGUCGGACUUGAUUUUCUUGGACGCAGCAUCUUUGGUGAGGCCUGACUUGGGGCGAUCAUCGAUGACCAUGCAAAGCUCGGCAGGAUCCGUAAAGGGGUCGAUGAGGGGGUGAGGGAGAGGCACUUUGUGGGGAUUAACGCGAGGCUUUUGAGGAAUUUUCUUUAGGCUGACGAUGAGAUACAGCAAUUCAUCCUGCUCAAGAAGUUGGGGCUUUUGGGUAUGGGACUGAGAAUCUCUCCAUUUCAGCAGAGCACUCACAGCUCUCUCCACUCUAUUGGGGCUCACUCCAGAUGAAGCUGCCGCUUCGCCAAUAUUCUUCGCCAUUUAUCUUCUUUCUGCUGCACGCCGCAACUUCUCUCCAAAUUGUUGAUAGGGUUUUAGGGGCUUUUAGGGUUUUGCCAGGAGACCUGGAACGCUUCGAACGCUAAUAGAGUGGACUUUUUAAAUAGAGGUACAACAAAUAAUGAAAAUAAAAGUACAAAAAAAUAAUAAAACAGAAAAUACAAAAAUAUAGUCGCGUGAUUUUACAAUCAUCCCGUUCAAUGCAACUUCAUUUACUUAAUUUCUAUGUGAGAGCGUAUUAUGAUUGAAACUUCACAAGGUGCAUUUUGUUCACCAAUUUUUAGAUUAAAAAAUCUUGAAAAAAGUGAUUUUGAAUUGAAAUAUAUGAUUCUUAAAUUUUGUUCAUCUAAAAAUAUAAUUUUUUAUAUUUAAUUUAAAAAAUAUAUAAAAUUAUUAAAUAAAAUACUUAAUUAUAUUAUCUUUAAUUAUAUAUGAAUAACUUGUGACGUGUGAAUAAUAUAUAAAUAUAACUUAAUUUUCAUAUAACAAAUAAAUAAUAUUAUUUUCAUUGAAAUUAAAAAAUUUUUAAAAAGUAUUUUUUUUUAUAUUUUCAACAAAAAUUAUAUUUUUUUUUAUCUUGAAACAUCAUUUUUAUUAAAUUCUAUGUUUUUUUUUCAUACUUUUAAUAAAAAUAGCAUUUUUUAAUUAUUAAAUUUUUUUUUCAUAUUUUAAAAAAGUCACAUUUUAAUCAUAAUUUUUGUCAAAAAAUUUCAAUAACACUGUUUUUAUCUAAAAUAUAAAAAAGACAACAUUUUUUACAUAAAAACAUAAUUUUUGUUAACAAAAAUUACAUAUUUUAUUAAAAAAACGUAAUUUCUAUUGAAUUUAUAAAAAUUUAAAAAAUAAAUUCUCAUAAUAUAUCAACAAGCAAACUAUAAUAUAUAUAUAUAUAUAUAACAUUUUCAUAAUAUAUUUUCAAUGAUGAUCACAUUUUUAAUCUUAAAAAAGUGACUUAUUUAAAAUAUAACAAAAAUCUCGUUUCUAAUUAAAAAAAAGUUAUUUAAAAUUUUUUUAUUAAUUUAACUUUUUUUUUCUCUUUCUUUUUCUUUCAUACCAAAUACAAUAAAAAAUAUUUUUUUCAACUUUUUCUUCUUUUUCUUCCUGCCAAACAUAGUACUAGGCCCAUUUAGAAGGAAAAAAAAAACAUGAACUUUAAACCAUGCAUCAAACUGCAAAAAUCAGGAGUCGCCUUUUCUGUCUGCAUUUUAUGUUAUCCACAUCCCAGCUAAAGCAGAACCAUUUUCUUUUCACCACAUUUCUUACAAUUAUCGAAUCACCAAUGAAUUGUACGCAGCUCAACCAUUUGUGAUUGUCGAGUCCAUGUGAGCUUAUAUAAAAUUUGGAUGGGCCUCACAAGUCAGUUGUGAUUAGACAGAUUUAUAGUUGAUAUGGUCUCAAACAAAAGAAAAACUGACCAAACAAAAGAAAUAAGGUACCGAGCAGGAACACCAUUUGAAAGGCAUUACAUGCCACGAUUUGGGCAGGCACUUGCAAAGUGCGAUGGAUCACCACAAACAUAACACCUUCUGCUGGAUACGGGAUCCCCUGUUGCUGACACAAAAGUGACGUCAGCAGUGCGUGCUCCAUUGUGGCCAAAUUGACCGUGGCCACCUCUCCUUCUGGAAUUGGAUGCUGAACUAUUGAUGCACUCACGUGGAAUGCUUCUUCCGCCAUUACCAUUAUUGAGGGUGUCCUCCCAUCUGCAUGAACAAGGUUUGAGUAAACCAGCCAUUUGAUGAAGCAUGUAACACAAGGACAUGUCUACUUUAGGCAUGAACAUUACACAAGAUUUAUAUCAGAUACACCUUCCAUGUAUCUUAUUUACAAAUGAAAAGCAAAAUAAAUCACUGCAUGUCUUGUUCGCCUCAUGGCACUAUUGAUGAAUUUUAGAGCACCUUAUUAAGUUAUACCAUGUUGUUCACAAAGUAAAGAAGUCAUUACACAAUAAAAAAUCAAUGAAAAUUAUUGUCGUCCCUUAUCAGAUGUAAUUGAAUAAGCAUUAAUGCAAUUACAACUCUUUGAACAGUUGCUCAUCCCUGUUUCUUUAGGAUGCUGAAUUAAACUAUUGAAAAACAGAAAGGGAACCAGUAGUUCACUAGAACAGUCUCACAGCUUAUUUACGAAAAAAGGUCCAAGGAAUAGAGUUCCAGGUUUACUUACAUAAAGAAAUUGCAUUCUUGUGAUGGACAUGAGUAGAACUUUCUUCCCCUGUUAUUUGCUGUAUUAGCAGUUCGUAAAACACAUGGUGUUCUGCAUGUGCUACAGGAUAUUGAAGGGUCCCCUGCAUAAAUGGAAAUAUCAUAAAAAUAGAAUUCAGAAUCAGAAGCUCUGCUGUAAGGAGCCCCAUUUCAUAACGAACACUUCAGCAGCCAAUGAAGGUAUAAGUUGAGAUGAUUGUGAAUUAUGUUCUUCUCAAUACUAAGCAUGCAUGCCUAUGUCUUUGAAGCCAGUGACUGCACCAUAAACAACAAUGAAAGGCUAGCUAUGCUAGUCAGGAUUCAGGAAUUCAGGAAUUCAGUUAAAACAAAACUAAAAAUGAUGCAACUAGAACUGUGAGUGAAGCAAGUUUCUGAUAGAGUUUUAUCAAGAAGAGAAUACUCUGCAAAGAGUUCCGAUAUUGGGUUGAUUAUAUUUUCCAAAGAGCUUCAUCAGGAAAGCUCUAUGAGCCUUCCCUCCUCAGAAAAGAUAUGAGGACCCUGGCUGCGGCAAAAGGUUCUAUUAAGUAUGAAAUAAUUGUGAUACUCUACAACCUUGAAGGGCUUUAUAGUGCAGCUAAAAAACCUGUUAAAGCACUUUAGAUGCUUAGGGAGAAUUUAAAGGAAAAAGCAAUUCUUUAUCAAACAAGGCCUACCUAAUAAACCAAAUUUUCACUUUAGGAACACUUUAAACUUUUUGAGGUGAAGUUGGCAUGGGACUGAAGGAGAAAGAAUUCCUUUCCUGGUAUUUGAUGGAAUUCUGAGGAGGAAGAAAUCUUUUAAUAACAAACAAAAAGGCAGAAGAAAGUAGGAUUUACAAAUAAAAUGGGGACAAGAGAAGAGCACGGGUCCUUGAUACCAGCAGUACAGUUUGUGCUUUAAUUAAGGCAUAUACAGCAAGUCUUCCUACCACUGCAACCAGAACAAUUAACUGGCCACAAACAACAUGGCUUAUAAAAUCAUAUUGAAACCUAAAAGGAAGAUUUCAGACAAAUCUUCACUUAAAAAAUACUAAAAUAAACUUUAAGAUUUCAAAACAUUAAUCCAAGAAAAAACUUCCAAGAAACUCAAAUUCCAAAUUCCAAAUUCUUACCAAAUUAUCUUAUAAAAGUGCAGAGGCUGCAAAUGAGUAGGCCAGGUUGGGUUUGUUCAGGUCAAAAUUGUUUCAAGUUCAAGUCAUUUUGGGUUCACGAAGACCUGAAUCUUGUGUCAUUUGAUUUUCAGGUUUGGGAUGUUUCAGUCAUUUUGGAUGUGGAUGGUUUUGGGUCAUUUCGAGUUAUAUGUAGCCGUAGUUUAAAUAAAAUAAUUUUUUAACACCAAGAAUGGUUUUGCAUAUCUAAUAAUUUACUUCAAAUUUGAACUCAAUACCAUGUAUCAAGUUUACACAGAACUGAUUAAAACUAUGAAAGUAUUUAACAGCGACCAAAUACUUACAUAAAAAUUACAUGUCCUAACAUGUCAAUUGAUCUAACAAUUGAACAUUAAUUAUACAGAUUGAAUUUUGAAAGAAAAUCAAGGUAAAAAAAUUAUAUAGUAAUUAAAAAAAGAACUAAUAAGCCAAAUAGGUUUCUCAAACAAUGCAAGAUCAAUCAAGCAAUUGGUACAAUAAAGAAGCCGCCAUAAAUUGGAGAGACUUUAUCAAUUUGAAGGUCAUUUAAUGCAUUUUUUUUUUGUUCCUAACUAUUUGUUGAGAGAUUAUGUAUCAAAUCAGGAUCAAUUUCCUGAUUUAUAGGGAUUUAUAAUUCUAGUCUUUUAUUUGUUUCUAUGUUUGGAUGAUUGUGUCUUGAUUUUGUGGGCUUCUUUAUACAUAUCAAUUUCUCUAUAUAUUUGGGGAUUCCUAUUAAUAAAAAAUAUACUCACAGACACUGGUUUUUUGUCUCUGAUUACAUGGUAUCAAAGCAAGGUUUGCUUCUGAAUUUUUUCAUUUUUAAUGGCCAAAACAACCAUGACUGGUGCCUCUCGACGGACUUCUUUCCUCUAGCAGGCUUUUUAUCAUAUCAAAUUACUUAUUCUAUAACCUUCCUCACCCGGGAAUGACUUAGUCAAUGGCUAACUGUUUGCUGGCGGAUUAGCUGGUUGGCAGGUUAGCUUAAUAUCCCACGCUUACUCUUUCUCUAGCACUAAAACUAGCACGCUUACUCCGCCUUACUUAGGAUUCCCUACUCUAGCACCUGGAUUAGCUGUUUUGCUUACUCAAAUAAGGGAUUUGUGGAAAUCUGAUAUUUAUUAUUACUUGAUUAGUUAACUGUGUCUAUUUUAGUUAAAUCUCUUAUUUUUAAAAUAAGUAGUGACUUGGUUAAUUA